rnacentral:lncRNA from 1 species
AGAAAAAAAAUGUAAAAAAAAGAAGAAAAGAACAGGAUGAAGUAAAGCUAGUUCUAGAUGGUGCAACAAAAUCAGAGGAGUUACGGAAAUAAGUUUCAAUAAUCACCUAUUAGGCCAUAUUUCCGCAAGAAAUUAGCUGUAGUAGCAGCAUCCCAGUCGUACCUGAUAAAACAGCACCAUAAGUAAGAUCAAAGGGAACUGUGAAGAAGGCUGCCAAUCAAAUAAAUGAGAAUGAGACAUACUGGUGUUUGGUCGGUUCUUGAGGCUUGGGCUCAAUAAGCAGAGCUCCUGAAAGACAGAGCAAGCAAAUAUUAAGAUCACUUCAGAAUUUUGGAAGGAAACAUUUGAUAAAAUGAGGACAACGUUAAGGAAGGAUAAAAAAACAAGACAAUAGAGGAUGAGCUAUUCAUGUUCUGCAUGCCCCAUGAAAAUGGAAAUGCCUAUUGUAUCCUAUUGUGCAACUGAGUCUAUGCUGCCUGUGUUAUGAAAAGAACAGAAAUAUACCAUUGAAUCCAAUCUUCUUCUUGUAGGCAACAGCAGCUUCGCAAAACCUUGCCUGUAGGAAGAUGUCGGAAAUCAUUAGUUAGUAAGAAGACCCAGACUUCAUCAUGGAAACUCCAGGGCAGACCAACACUGACCAGAGAGGUAAGUAGUAAGAGCUCUUUUAAUGUUAAGAAGGUGAGAAUUGGAGAGCAUACCAAAUGAUCAAGCUCCCUUUCCAUAUCUGUGUUCAAAAGACUCUGGUAACCCUCACGACCACCCAAAAGACAUAAUUUUCUCCACCCAAGUCAUGUGUGACCUGUUGGAAUAAGAGGUGUUAAUUGCAAUUUGUUGAUAUAAAAAUUCCAUAAAAGUAUGUUACAUUCACACAAUUAUCUUUUUUUUUUUCCAAGACUACACACAGAUCAACUCACCUCCAUUGCUUUCUUCACUUGAGCUGCAGCAUAUGCAUAUACGCCUAACUCAGAACUGUGACAAGAGGACCCAAACGUAUUAAGUCUAUGAACAAAUGACCUGGAUAGCAUCAAUAGCAUGACAUCCAGUCAAGGAUAGAAUACCUAGUAGCACCACCAUGCAUGUAACGAGGAUGCAUAAACAAUUGUGCUGUACCCCACAAAGGACGGAUCUUGGUUCCCUGCACAGUCACGUGAUUGAGGCAUCAAAAACUAAACCAAACUUCAUAAUCUCUUGUACACACAUAAAAUAAAGUAUCAAGCAUGCUGAUAUCCAAAUCCACAUAAGGUAGUGUUAGUGGUUCUCCUCCGAAUAUUGAAUACCUUGGUCGAUCAGUGAUUGUGAAAGUUCUGUGCCACUACAAUUUGCACCUCUUGUGAAAUAUCACAUGAAAGAAAAAAGGCGAGAUUUUGCUCCAGUUUUUCUGGCGGCUAUAAAUUUAUACACUUCUUUCCCUUCACCAACUUGGCAACCAAGAAAAUAUGAAGGUAACUAUUGCAAUUUAAGGAAGUGGGGAAAAAAGACAAGGUGGGCAAAUAAGCGGUUUAAAUCUGCCAUAGAAUUAGAUUGCAUAAAUAUUUAGUUAUUUUUUUCUUUUAAAAAAGGAUUGACUACCCAGCUGCAGUUCAUGAUACGAGAAUAAGGGAAUUCUAUGUCAGUCUACAUGGCACUGUUCCUUUGACAGAAAUAUUAUAUAAAAGCAGUUUAAAAAUAUGAAAAUAGUUGCCAAAUAAUGUAUAUUAGAAAGAAAAAAAAAAAAAAAAAAACUAAUAUAUCAAACUAUGAUGAAGAAACUGAUGUCGGAUAGGUAUACAACAAGCCUAAAGAACAGUAAGGUUCUGGCACCAGUUAAGCUAAUACACAGAUGUAUGAAGUUACAUUUCUGUUUUAUUUCAGUCAUAUGAUCAUCAUCCUUUGGUUUCAAAGAUUACCUGAAGUUCUUUAGGGCCCACUACUUCAUCCAAGUUUUUAUUACUUUCCUGUAACAAAAAGAACCUCAAUUAGUUCAGUGGUACACCAGUGUGAUAAAAAAACAUAGAUCAAAAUAAAGAAACAAGAAACAAUUAAGUCUAUCCAUAAUUAAAGUUUAACAACCAAAUGCUCAUUAGCAGAAACAAGGAACCCACUUCCCCCCAGUUGAUACUGUUAUUUAAAAACUCACUCACCUCCAGAGUUUCACCAUCAGGAGCUAUAUCCCUAUCAUGGAAACACCACCUAUCAACUCCAAUCUUCUCCAAGAACUCAAAAUUAGCUCUCACUGGGUUGUGUAUCAAAAGGGAAAAAAAAUCAAUAAACAAAUAGGCACCAACUUUGUAGUACUCAGUAAAUGAUGUGUAACAUCAUGGAUCUUACUUCUCCUUUUGGCCAUAGCCAAAGAAUUGGUUCCAUCUUCCCAAGGCCAAUACUUGGUAGGCGCACCAAAGGGGUCACCUCCUGUUCCACGGAAUGUGUGCCAAAAUGCAAUACUGAAUCUCAUCCAAUCCUGUUAUCAGAAGUAAUAGUCAGCAAUAGUUCUACUGCUUGCUACAGUAUAUAAUAGCAAAACUGCACUCCACCUUCAUUUUCUUCCCAAGAAUCUCUUCUUCCGCAUUAUACCAUUUGAAUGCUAGUGGAUUCUUGCUAGAAGGUCCCUGCAAAUAAAAUUUGACUCUAGAGCUAAAAGUGCAAGUAAAAUAUACAUGAUUGAAGACACCAAGUUAUAGGUCAUAAAUGUCUUUACCUCGAACUUAAUUUUGGGAAUGCCAGGGAAGAACUCCCCUUCCCAUUCUCCAGAAUCACUGCAUUUUCCACCAAGAUCAGCAGGACAUGUUGGUGGACCAGCAGCAAACUGCAUUGCAAUGUAAUGAAACGAAAGUAAAAUGAGAACAUAAAUGAAUAAUGUCGUUAAACUGUGGAUCCUCGCCCACAACUGGAUUUCCACAAAAUCCCCAUUGGUCCCAUAUGGUCCACAAAAUAAACUAACAUUAGAAAGCAGUAUAGAUUCUCAAUAUUGCCCCAUGCAACACCAGAAAAGAUUUAUUUUUUUAUUCUCUUACCACUCCUAAAGUGAUUACACUCGAGCAAACAAGAAGCAGCAGUAUCCUCCCACCUUUCAUCUUAUUGAAGCUAACCUUGCAAUAUAAAGAAACAAAAAGCAAACAAACAAACGAUAAUCAAUCAAUCAAAGAACGAAAACCAUAGAUCAACACCCACACAUCCCAUGACCAAUUAGACAACUUUAAGAGCCCAAAAUAAUAAUAAAUCAAAACUAAAAAAUUGACUAUCCUCUCUAUCUCUCUCACUCUCAUAAACAAAUAAUCAGUCCAGUAAUUGCUGCACGAUUAGCAAUUAAGUAUUAAGUAUAACAUGAACAGAAAUUAGAAAACAACCCAUGAUCACAUUACUAGAUAACAAUCAUGGGUUAUCAAAAAAAAAAAAUCAACCAUCAAUCCAGCAAAGCUUACAACAUCAAGAAGACCAUCAAAGCACUAAGCUUUGCCAAAAAAAAUAACAUGGAACCAAAACUGGAAAACAACCCAUGGUUACAUUAGCAUAUAGCAAUCAUGGGUUGUCAACAAAAAUAAAAUUCAGUCAUUCAGCCCAGCAAAUAUUACAGUAACAAGAAGAUCAUCAAAGCACCGAGCUUUACCAAAAAAAAAACUUCGAAUAAAAGAUAAAGCAGAAGAGAGAUUGAGAGAGAUAAACUUACAAAUGACACUGAAAAUCGGACUACUGAGAUUACAAGAGAAAGAAACAUGCACAAUAGCUGAGGAUGUUGCUGCUAUUUAUAGAGACAGCCUUAGUAAAAGGAUAAUAUUUAUAAACAGGAUUUUUUUUUUGUGGUAAAUUCAUAGAAUUUGACUUUAACUAAAAUGAUAAAUUUUAGGAUUUGAUUUUGCUUGUGAUACGAUUUUACGAAACCACUUUUAAUUAUCCCUCCUUAAAUUAUCACCCAAAUUGCUAAUUUAAUUUGCAACUUUCUCUUUUUCGGUAAUGUCAAAAAAAUAAAAUUUAAUCUUCUACUAACCCUUAUUAUUUACUAAAUAAUCUAUAUAUAUAAAAGGAGUUGAUGAUAGGUAGAGAAGUUUGAGAGUGUAUUAAUAAUAAAAAAAAGAAAAAAACUAUCACCAUGCAAACUAGCCUAAUAGGAAGAAGAUAAGUUUCGUUGCUACGGUGAUGUCCUGAGUGCCAGCUAUUGGUGCAUGAUAAUCAAGUUUCUUAAAAAAGAAAAUUCAAAGAUAAGAAAGAAACCUGAAUGGAUUUAAAAAUAAAAAAAAAAUUAAUAGGAAGGGAAGUGAUGACGAGGCAUCUUUGGAUUAAACUGAUGAGUCAGCGGUGACACUCCCAAUGACCAAAAAUAAUUGCUUGAAAAUUGCACCAGCUUAUUGCCUUUAUCCUUUAUUUACAAACAAUGUCAAUGUCAAUGACGACUUGUAAUGCUCUAGGUGUUUGAUAUCUAUUGGUUGAUCUUUAAAAUAUUUUUUUAUUUAAAGUAAAUUUAAAACAAAUAAAAAAAUUUAAAAUUUUUUAAAAAUAAUUUUAAAACCCUUUUGAUUGCCCACUUAAAGCUGGAAUAAGACUUGUUUUCAUAAAAGUUUGAUUUUUUUUUAUUAUUAUUAUUUUAAUAUAUUAAUAUUAAAAAUAAAUUUUAAAAAAAUCUAUUUCGAUACAUUUUAAAAAAUAAGUGUUAGCUUCCGCACCGUCACUCCAACUCCUUGAUGUAGUUUGAGCCCUCAAUUCUCUCCAUAUGAUGGGCCUAAACAAUGGACUGAUGUAUUGUGGUUGCAACCCACUUUUCAAAUGCUAUAGGUUCGGUGUGAAGAUGGACGUGCCUUGGUGGCCCAACAAGCUCCAAGAAGUCAGCAACCCCAAGGCCCAACCCAAACGCGAACCCCCCCCCCCCCCCCACCGCACAAAUAUCCUUUAAAUACUAACAUAAUUUCAUUUUCAUUUUAUUCUGUUUGAUCACACGCGUAUUUUUUUAUAUCAAUAUCUUAUUUCUUAAGAAUACUUUGUAAGAAUAUAAUUGUAUUACAUUUUCAUUUAAUUAAAUUGAUAAAAGAAUCUAUUGCUCAUAUUUAUUAAUUAAUUAAAAGAAUUUAUUACAUUUACAUUAUCAACCUCUGCUUGAAGCUUAUAGCCCAGUUCAACACUGGUAUCUCAACAAAUAAAAGUUCAUAUACUAAGUUUUAUUUCGUGAGGAAAAUAUUUUUUUAAAGUUAUGAAAAAUUUAAAAUUUUUAUAUUAUUUAUUGAUUAUAUCAGAUUUAAAAUCUCUAAAUUUUUUAUUGUUAUAUAUAUUUUAUUUUAAAUAUUUGUUUUUCAAUUCCAUUCUUUAAAUUUUGAUUUUUAUAUUAACUUUGGUUUUUAUUUUUAUAAUUGUUAUUUACUUUUUUUUUAUAAUUUUUUAAUUUAAAUUUUUUAUCUAUCAAAUUUGAUCAUCAUUCUUUUGAUUGUUACUUAUUUUAUUUGAAAUAAUUUAUGAAAUUAUAAUUAUAAUUAUUUUAAUUUCAUCUUCUUUCAAAAAAUUUAUUUGUUAGAUUUGAUAUCUAUUAUUUUGAUUAUUAUUUUUUUUAUUUGAGAUAAUUUAUGAAUUUUUUUUUUAAUUUCAUUCUCAUUCAACUUUUAAAUUUGUAAGAUUUGUUCCUCAUAUUUUAAUAAACUUGAAAAAAAAAAUAAAACAUUAAUAAGUUAUUUUCCAAUUCAUUUUCCAUGACAUAACCAAAUACUGAAAAGUAUUUUCCAAUUUAUUUUCCAUGACACUACCAAACAUCAGAAAAUAAUUCAGUUUUUCAAAUUCACUUUCCAAGAAAAUAACUUUCCAAAAAAAACUAUUUUUCAGCAAACAAACGGAGCCUAAUAGAGUUCAUAAACUCAAAGUUUUUAAACCCAGCCCGAUCCAAGGCUCGGAUUUCGAGUUUUGAUCGGGUCACCGGGUCGUCGGGUCCAUUCUGAUUUUUUUAAUCAAAACAAUAUCGUCUUAGUAAAAAAAAUAAAGUCAACGGAUUCCAACCGGAUUUUUAACCGGGUCAACUUCUCGAUCAUCUCGUAUUUUAACAUUCCAUAAUUUUUAAGAAAUCCAACUUGAUUUAGUUUUGGAUUAAUCUACCAAGCAAGAACCGGUUUCAAAACUAUGCAUAGACUAAUAUGGUAAAUAAAGUGCUUUUAUGUUCUUUCAAACAAGAAUUUUUGUAAAGUCAAGCAAGUUGUUGCACCUGACAUAUAAUAGAUAACCAGAGAAAUAAUUAAUGAUUCAAAAGGUAAGUUACCACUUAAUUUUCAAAAAGGUGAAAAUUAAGGAAAAUCUACAUUAAUUAUAGGAGUUUUUUUUCUACACGAAUAGAGAAAACAAAAAUCACCCGAAAACUACUAGGGUGUGUGCGCGCGCUUCUAUUUUAAAAUUAUAAAAAAGAAAAUUUACAAAUAUACACCAUCAAAUAUCACCCAAAUGAAUUUUGUUUAAGUUUAAACUAUCAAUUGAUGUAUAUUAUUAGGUCUUGAAAAAUCCAACGUCAUGCAAUUAUAUCCAUAAAAAUGAAAACUUGGAUAAUCCUCCUAUUUUUUUUAUUGAAACUAGUAAAAAAUAUCAUGAUCUUCAAGAAACAAUAAACAAUCAUGCCACAUUUUCAUCAUUGAGUGAGAAUUAAAUGAAACUAAUAAAAUUAGUGAAGCACCUAUAGAAAUUAAGAGUUUAAAGACUAAAUAGACACAAAAAUUAAUUGAAUAGAGGACUAAAAUAAAAGGUGCGUGAGGAACAAGUGUGGUUUGUUUUACAGUGCACAAGUGGCACACUCAUGACAUAUGGGAUGUUGGUGGACCUUCAAUCGAUGUCGUUUUAACAGCACUUAAAAGAGUUUUCUCGGACGAUGAAACUGAGUUGGCAAUAAUCGAUGAUAAAGUAUAGUGGAGGAGAGGUGAUGUUGUCUUUAUAGUUUAUAUGGGCUUAUAAGAUUUUAAAAAAAAAUUUGAUUUUUUUUCUACAAUUUUUUCUGUCCCAUUUUGUUUAAAGCUAUAUGGUAUGGAUGUAUAUAUAUUAAUGUGUCAAUGACAUUUUUUUGGGUUCAUUUUAAAAUGUCAAUGACAUUUUUUUGGGUUCAUUUUUUUGACAUUUUUUGUGUCAAUGUAUAUAUAUUAAGUAUACUUUUUUUUCUUUUUUAUUUUUCAAUUUUGUUCCCGCACUUAGGCUAUACAACCCAAUCUCACAUGUUUAGGUUUGGGUUUAUUUUUAUAAUUUUAUUUUUUAAUAUUAAAUUUAUUAAGAAUAAAGUUUUAUGGUAUUUUUUUAUAUUUUUUUAAAUAUUAUUUUUUAGAUUUCAUUUUCUAGCAUUAAGUAGUUAGAAAUCAAACUUCAUAAUUUUUUUAUUUGUUUUUAUUUUAUUCUCAUAAUUUUAAUUGUUUAUUUAUAGAAUUAACUCGAGUUUAUUUGUAUUUUUUUAUUAUUGUUUUUUUUUAUCCUCCUGUUUUUUUAACUCGAUCUCAACAGGUUGUCAUGCUAAUAUUUACUAUUACACCGAGAAAAUCACAAAUCGAUCAAACACCGCUUUCCAGCUACCCGCCUCCUCAAUUUGAAACGAGUAGCUGGGUAAACGAUUUACCAAAGUCAAAUCCUCAAGAAUAUUCAUUAACUUAAAUAUAUCAAAUCAAAAUGAAAGGGAGUUUCUCAGAAAGACAGCUUAAGACAUGUCUAGUUGUAAUUUGCUUAUAAAUAAGACAAAACCAACAACAUCAAGUCCCACUAGAGACAACUACGUUUAUUCCAUUAUUAUACAUGCUACGUGCAUGAUGACGGCGGAGGAGGAAAGAUGCGAGAUCAAUGACGCCACGGAAUAGCCGGCGAAAUUGAACGUCUUCGAGAAGCCAUUAUAUAAUAAUGGAUAAGAUGGAAAACCAAGAUUUGAACGACUCUCUUCUCCUUGUUUCUUAUUCGGAUGGAAAACCAAGAUCAAUGACUAUUCCAACUUGUCCAGAUAUCUGAAAAGUUUCUCAAUUUUAUCUUUCUCGACAGAUGAUUGAUCUCCCCAUUCAGGUCAAGGCAUGCGCCAAGAUCCAAUUUUGAAAUGAAAAGGUCCCAUAAUUUUGGUGGGACUUCCGAACAACGAUUUUAAGACUGUACAUGUUACAGCAUCACCGAACUUACCAUUCAAAACACAGUCAACCGACCCGCCAGCUAACAACUGGUCUCCAUCCCUUCCAUGAUGGGCACUCAAAUAUGAUCAAUUCUCCUAGCCCUCUAAUAAAUACACGCAUGUGCUUGAGUAUAAAUAAAAAAACAUGAGACAAGAUCUCCACAUGAAAACCGUGUAUAUAUAUGAUAGCUGCGAAGAUGAAGCACGAGUUAUCCUCCAAUUUCAAAUCUAUCCAUCGCUUCCAUUCUUGACACCGGUUUGGAGCGAAGAGGGAUAUAUAUAUAUAUAUAUAUAUAAAAAACAUUUGCAAGAGGGGUAGGUGCCUGUACUCGUUAUUAGUAGAAAAAACGAGGGGGGAAUAUUUUCGGAAGAAGUUUGAGGAGGAACAGCUGUUGUUAGUAGAAAGGAGUUCAUAUUUUGUCACAAACAAAAUAUGGGACAUGGAAAUAACAUAGGUAAGUACCAGUUAGGUCGAACAAUCGGAGAGGGAACAUUUGCCAAGGUUAAGCUGGCUGUAGACAGCACUGAUGGUCGUCCUGUUGCAAUCAAGAUCAUGGAUAAGAAAAAGGUCAUGCAAAGCCAUCUCAAGGAUCAGGUGAUAUUCCAUCUAACAUUUCCUUAUCUUCUUUCCUUGAGAGAAGUCUUGAUGACGACAACACCAAAUAUGCUUCUUUCUGACAUAUGGAAAUGAUAAUUCUAGGUACAGAGGGAGAUAAGAGCUAUGAAGCUCUUGCAUCACCCCGGUAUCGUAAGGAUACAUGAGGUUUGUUGGCUAGUUUCUCAUGUUGUGUCCGGUGGCCUCAACGGCAAGUCGGAGAACUCUUCCUUAUUACUUCUUGUUGUUGAACAAUUACAGGUGAUCGGCACAAAGACAAAGAUUUAUAUGGUAAUGGAAUAUGUAUCAGGAGGACAACUAGCAGAUAAGCUGGUAAGGAUUAUCUAACAGCAUCAGCAAUUCAAAGGUGAUGUUUUUAUAUUGACAUUUCUAAUCCUGUUCAACUCUAAUUACUCAGUCCUAUGCCAAGAAACUAAGUGAAUCGACGGCAAGAAGAAUAUUCCAUCAAUUGAUAGAUGCGGUGGACUAUUGCCAUAACAGAGGAGUUUAUCACAGAGAUCUAAAGGUACAAGACAACGCACUUCGCUUCUUUCUUUUUUUGCCAAUUUUCUGUAAAGGAUUUACACAAUCUGAUGAACAUCUUGCGCGCAGCCAGAGAACUUACUUCUGGACGGCAAAGGAAAUCUGAAAAUUUCUGACUUCGGACUAAGUGCAUUACAAAAGGUACUGGAAGCCUAGCGAUUUUUCUUCACUUCCUGUUUAUUUAUUUGCAAGUUAGUUUGAACAAUUCCAACCUUGGUUCCAUGUCUGAUUGACAGACUGCGAGCUUGCUAACUACAACAUGCGGGUCACCUUUCUAUAUAGCACCUGAGGUAAGAAGCAGUUUUCCUCUUACUAAAUUCCUAGAAGUAAUUCCCAGCUUGUUACGGCUGAAACAGUUUAGAACUUAUUCCUAAAUUCUCUUCACAGUUCACCACUGUAGCUAACGGGUGAUCUUCUGCUACACAGCUUAUUGCAAAUAAGGGUUAUAAGGGGGCAGCAGCAGAUGUUUGGUCCUGUGGGGUAAUCCUUUUUGAGCUACUGUCGGGAUAUCUACCAUUUGACGAACGUAACCUCAUAAUGUUAUAUAAGAAGGUAUUAUCUAUAUAAGGGUUAAUUAUCUCUACCAUGUGCGAAAGUAAUCACUCCAUUGAUGACUCUGCUUGUGUAAAGAUAUCUGCAGCUGAUUACACAUGUCCACAGUGGUUUACAGAAAGUCAAAAGAAGCUAAUAUCAAGAAUAUUAGAUCCAAAUCCCAGAAAGGUAUAUCACCAAGAUGAGUUUUUAUGCUUUAACAAAUUCUAGGAUCAUAACAAACGAGAAAGUAAUGCAAUCAUCCAUCAUCGCAGAGAAUAACAUUACCAGAGAUCCUUGAAGAUGAAUGGUUUCAGAUAGAUUACGUGCCUUCUUGUGGAUAUGAAUGUGAUGAAAAAAUCAUCUUGGAGGAUGUUAGUGCUGCUUUCGAUGCCGAUGAGGUAAAUGUUCAUAAACAGUAAGACUACUGCAAGUUUUGUGCUUUCACCUGGAUAACUGAAAUUCUAAGCAGGUCAACGCCUCAGAAACAGAGACCCCUAAAUCCUCAAGUUUCAUAAACGCUUUCCAACUGAUAGCAAUGUCCCAUGAUCUUGAUUUAUCAGGUCUCUUCGUAGAACAGGCAAGUCUGCAAAUCAGAAUUUGGCUUUACUUUCUGCAAACUUCCUUUGUUCAUUUGUGAAUUUCAAUCAAUCUCUCUCUUGUCUAGGACGACAGGAAGCAGAAAACCAGGCUAGGAUCCAAACAUACAGUUAACGAAACCAUAAGGAAAAUAGAAGCUGCUGCAAUGGAUGUGAGUUUGUCAGUUGAAAGAAUGAACAAUUUCAAGGUAAAAACUCGUUGGAUUUGCCUAGUCUUCAUCUAGAGAGAUUUUCUCCAUUACAGAGUAACUAAUGACUAUACUACACCAUCUCAGAUGAAAAUGCAUCAGAAACCAAACAUGAAAAGAUAUACCAGAUCAUAUUAUGACCUAUCAGCAGAGGUAAAAUGUUCUGCAAAUGCCUUCAAGAUAUCAGAAUUCUGUAGUCUAACAUCAAUGACAGUCUAAUCAUUCCGUGUCAAAUGUCAGGUAAUCGAGGUUGCUCCUAUGAAUUGUGUUGUAGAAAUAUCAAAAUCAGUAGGGGACACAAGAUUGUACAAAGAGGUAUAAAAACCUUCUGUUUUAUGUCAUUUUCUUGAAUAAACAAUUAGUGUUGAUUAUAUCUGCAGCAUAAUGACUUCAUAUCAUCAUUGUUGAUGAACAGUUUUGCAAAAGUUUAUCGAGUUUGCUGACAAAGAUAUCAGAUGUAUCAUUGCAAAAGGAAGGAUCAGAAAAAUCAAGCAACAAUAGAAGCACUCACGAGAUAAGAAGGUAAUGUAAAGCUCUGAAAUACAAUUUGAUUAGAUAAACUAAAAUAGAUUGCCUGUCCAACUCACUGGAAAAUUUUCAAAACCAUGCAGCUGUGAGGAGCAAAAUGAAAACGUGACUAAUGGCCUUCAAGGCUAUUCCUCUUCUUGAUGAUUACCUAAAACUGCAUUUGACCUGGCAUUUCACACUUUCAAGAACCUCAGAGAAACUGGACAUUUUAUUAUAUGAUAAUCUUUCAACUGCAGAACCUAAGAACCAUUGACAAGUACCAUAAGGCAGCAGGGCACUGUUCCUCCACAGAAACAAGUCAGCCCUGUUGUGUACAGGACUGUUUGCUUGCCCCAAAUUCUCUCCCAUUUCUUCUUUCUUUUUCUUUUUCUCUUUAUAUAUAUAUAUAUAUAUAUAUAUAUAUAUAUAUAUAUAUAACUUUGCUUCUUCCUUUCAUUUUGACACUAAUAACUCACUCCAUAAUGUAUAUUAAAGGCCAGAAUUCUUCUUUAAUAUUUCCAAUGAGAGAUCAAUGACUGAAAACCAUUCCUGUAACUUCAUUAGACCAAUUUUAGCCUGGUUUUUAUACGUUGACAGCAAAAGAAUAAUGUUGAAGCAAGAUAGCUAAGCAAAUAUCAAGCAAACCUAAUCAGCUACUUCAGUCAAGCCAGCAGCUACCACCAAGGGGAUUUCUCUGAAACAUCUCUACAUAAAAAAUUUAUAUUUCUUACAUAUUUCUAGAACACAUCAAGAUUCAAACAGAUUCUAAAUCCAUAUUUCACAUUCUCCCCUUUUCUGGUCAUAUGGUGCUAAUAAGGAGACAUCAACCUAACUUUAUAAAAACAACCUGCUGGUCCUUUGGAUCUGCUAAAUUCUCAACAUAUGCCUCAAUUGAGAGUAAACCAGCAACAAAAUCUAUAAAUAGUAAGGGACACUCAACAAUGGUCAUGCAAUUUGUGAAUUCAGAGGCAUGCAAGCAACAUGAAGCCAAGUAACUCAUCAUAGCAAAAAUUAGGCAUCAAAAGCACACGGUGAUUCUAUUAUGAUUACCUAAGAAAAUUCAUCUUCCAACUUCAUAUUUGCAAAGUUUGAUUCGAAAUUUACAUAAUACACUUCUAUGCGACAACUCGGUAAAAUAAGGAUCCAAUCUCUUGCUAAUGAUCAUAAAAGGACAACAAAAGUUAUAAAACAUAUUUCAGUCAAUUCAUGCACCUAUGAGCAUCUAAAAAGUACAGUGAUCAUUUAUUUUCAUAAAAGAAUGUCCAACCAUCCCAAGUGCAUAGUCUCAGAAUUUCACCUCUCAUGCUUGCCUGGGCAUACUUAGAUAGUCUUAAAUUUCAGUUGUUCCUUGGUAGCUUAUGCCGAUUGAUUUCACACAAAAAGAAACACAACUCAUAUGAGCACCAAAUGACAACAUGAUCAGGAAAGAAAGAUAAAACAGCUCCACAGCCUGACGUUUCCUUUUUUUAAUUUAAUUGCUUGGUGUAUCUUUUAUUGGUUUUCUUUUCUUAAAAUUCUUCUUAGUUCCAUGUAUGUUUGCACAAUUUAAUUAGGAUAUAACACAAACAUGGCCUACUGAAUUGCUGCAUAAAAUACACAAGGGAUUUCUCAAUAUGGCUUUAAAAGGCAUAUUGACCACAAUUUAGCCAGUCAGAUAUUAAGACAUCAUUAUUCCAUCCAUAAUACCUUAAGAAAUAUAUAAUUUACCUAAGUUUAAGAAAAAUCUGUUUGUUUAUAGCAACAUAUACAGUUAUUAGUGAGCUCCAUAAUUUAAGGGUCAGAGCCCAACUGCUCAAGGCUUGAACUAAUCAUUUGACUACAACUGUGAAAAAUAUUCAGGGAAGCCACAUCUUGGGUGCUCAAUAUGAAUGUUUCCUUCAAAAAGAUGAACAAAUAAAGUAAAACUGCCUGAUUUACACCCUUUCAAGUAAUACUUUCCAUCAUUAAUGUGUUAUAAUGGUGAGUGGUGGCAUCAUUAUAUAUAAUAUAAUUGGUCAACUGCUACAUAAACAUUAUGGCAGUGCAAUUUGGGUUUGUUCAAAUUCAGACAAACACACUAUAUCUAUAAAAAGAGAAUAAUCAUCAUAUACUUUCCAAUUGGUAAAAUGGAAAGAAAUUAUAACCUUUAAAGAAAAGUGAAUUUACAUGAUGAAAGCAAACAAACAAACGAACCUAUUGGGAUUAAGAUAGCUACAACUCUGCAGUACCCCUGGAAUCUCCUCAUUGACGUGGAAGUAUAUGCUGCAAUGCCUUCAUAUGUCACAAUGUAGACCAUUGCAUAAAAAAGAAGCAACCCAUCCAUCAUAGAAUCACCAACUGUAAGAAACCAACUAGUAGAGGCCUAGAGAAGGAAAUUAUCUAUCAUGUGGAAAACCACAUCAGCACCAUCAGAAUUCAACCAAUACGACUUCACCUGAAUAUAUGAGCAAGAUGAUGACAAAAAUGAGAAAAGCACAAACAAAUCAAGUAUUACUGGGUGGCAAUUAAUUUUAAUCCAAACCACUACAUUUUCAUUACUAUACAAGAACUAACAAUCAAAAUGUAACUGCCCAAAAAUUGAUGUGAGGACCAUUGGCUAAGCCAACAUUAUAUAUACUGAACUUGCCAACACAUGGCUGCCCUCAAGCCUUGAAAGCAGCUGCUCCAUGCAAAAAUACUGAUGGAUUGGUCUGUCUCCAAAUUCUGCCCAGAUCACAUGCUGGUGGUACCAUUCUAGAAAACAAUAUGAAUAUAUACCUAAUGGUGACUGUUAAAUUUACCAGCAACUGAACCACUAAAAAUCCAUGGGCUUGUAACAAAAUAUACUACUUAAGUUUUAAAAUUCGGAUUAAAAUGUGGAACAACAAAAUAUAAACUACACCUUCCAUCCAAGUUUCCUAUGAAUGUCAUUUUUUUUGGCUAUUUAAGGUUAUUUUAAGAAAAUGCAAUGGCCAAGCUUCACUCAUCUUAACAAGGCUUUCCUGAAAGGACAGCAUGAACUACUAUAUCAGACUUGUUAUGUGUUUAACAAUAUUCCUCAUAACAUCUUCUAUCACUUGCCAUUUUAAUAAUUUUACCACGUCCUAUCAUAAUUGGAACAGAUUGUCAAGCCUAUACCUAAGCUAAUUGCAUAAUGGCAUAGCCUAUAUUUGUCUAGGCAUUUUAACAACCAUCAAGCGAGUUCAUUUGAAAAAAGACAAGUCACAUUUAUUUAGAAACCCACUUCCAGACAAUUUGCAAAGUUGACCUUAAUUGUGCAAGUUUUCCUUAUUUCCCCAUCUGAGAUGGAGAUAUUUUAUUUUCAUUCAUCACAAGUAUAGUGAAAAGCAAUAAGACUGUCUAAGAAGAUCUGCAGAAGAAGAGAAAAAAACUGCAGAGGUUAUGGAAGAACCAAUCAGCUAUAGAACUUGCCUGAAUGGUAUUGUGAGCAAUAUACCGUUGUUUGCUUUUAUGAAAGCUAACAUCUACACGUUCCCAAGGUACUUGAGUUAGUCCUUUGAUCAUCUCUUCUACAUAUUGAAAGAGAGGAUACUCAUGAAAAAAUGAAGCAUGACAAAAAAUAAAAAUAAAUAAAUAAACAAAUUAAGAAAAAGGGUAACAAAUAGAGGAGGCUGGUGUAUGAAAAUCAAACCCAGUCAUCAGAGAAAUAACGAGCAAGCACAAAGAAACCAACUUUAAGUAUCCAACUUAAGCUGUAUGAACUCCAAGGGAUACCAAGUUCCAAGCCUAGAAAACAAUAAAAUGUUUCUCUCGCUCCAAGUAACAUUUGAAAAAUAGAGAAAAAAAGAAGUUUGACCAACCUUCUAAAUCAGUUGUUUGCUUUCCAACAACAAGAGUUUUUUUAUCAGAAUUGUGGUCCCCUCUUUCUCUCUCCACAUAAACAAUAUGUGGAUAUUUAUUAUCUGUCACAAGAAGAUUGGACUGGAGAUGAAGAUGGAGAAAACAUUUGAAUUAGUUUUGUCAAAGAAAAAAAGAAACGGAAAAGGAAAUGCAUCUCUAAAUAGACAUUUGGCAAAUAAAGCUGAAUUAAGGAAAAAAAAAAAACCUUGGGAAGUUCAUUUUGCCGCCUAAUUGAUGAUGUUCCCCAUCCAACUAUAUCUAAUACAAGUCAAGGCAAAUGUACUCUGGCAUAAAGGUAGAGAUGACACCUCAGAUAUGGAAGGUAUCCAUAAUUCAAAGGCAAAUUUGAGUGAGAAAAAGGAUACGAUCAUAAUUUGCAUUUGCAUAUACCACACGACGCUUGAAUGCACGUAAAGCUGAUCUACACAUCAUAAACAAUGUUACCAGAUAUUUAUCCAUGAAUAGACUGAUGGGUUACCUAUUAAAAAUAGUGUGGUAGAUAUACUUACAUGAAUCUUAAGCCAUCAGAAUCAUUAACCAUUUGAAGGAGAAGAGGUAUCCCAUUAUCAUUGUCUGUUAGGAACAGAUGCUUUCCUGUCCUUCCAACUAUUAAAUGAGCAGUCUGAGAUGCUCUUCUCUCAAGGAAAGGAAGACCACAGAGAAUAGGGAGCUGUAGAAUCAAGACAAGAAACGCAUAAAAAUACAGAAAAAGCAUGGUACCAGAAAUACAUUAUCCAAAAGGUUUCUAGAAAACUAGAAUAGAAGUAACGAAUCACUUAAGGUUCUCAAAAAGAACGUUCUUAGUAUUAAGAAUCUAUUUUUCUCAUCAUUUAUUAGUCAUACGAGAACAUCAACCUCCAAUCACAUGUUAAGAUUUCUAAUAGCAUCCUAACCAUGCUAAAGUGUUUUGAAUAAGAUCAUUUCAUUCCAAAAUCCCUUUCUGCAUUCAGAGAUCCAGGACCUAUUAACCAAUACUCCUAAACAUUCUAAACAAUUAAGGAAGGAAAAAAAGAACAAAGAUAAUUAAUUAAAAUUCAAGUAAAAUAAUAGAAGAAUUCAACAUAGAAAUCCAAGAGUCAAGAAGAUGAUUAAUGCAUGUGGGUUGAACAUAAUGACAAAAGCAAGCAGAAGUAUUGUUCUCUUAACCUGUUUAUUUCCCCUUGAACCCAGAUGAGGUGUUGCAAAUGUUAUGAAGUUCACAGGUUCCAAUCCAGCAAUUCUAGCUUCACAUGGCUGCUCAAGACAGUGCAUUGAAUUUGUGUGCUCUUCAUCCAAGGAAUUUUCAGUGAGAUUUGAAAGGGCUGAUUUAGGUAAAUUUUCAUACAGCCUGGCUAUAGCAUAUCUUGCAACAAGUCCACCUAGUGAGUGAGCCACAAAGGAAAUUUUCCGCACCUCAGGCCUGUGUCUAACAACUGCCAAUACCUGCAUUAGAUAUUUUACCAAGAACUCAAGAUUCACAUGAAAAGGCUUAUGGAGAUUUUCUGACAUAACAGAUUGUUUAAACAAAAUUACCCUGAACUAAAAUCUGACUGCCAAACAUACCUCUUCAGCUAGCCUGUCACCCAUCAAAUCAACACCAUCAAACGUCAAUUUUGAAUGGUUGCAUUCACUGCCUGCUUAUAAGAAUAUCAAGUCAAAAACCAAAAACAUUGACAAAGAAAUAACCACGGAGUACAAAUUGGAAUUAAAAUAAAAAAAACCACAUGGAAUCAUUCUAGGCAUCAUAAGUUUACAUAAAUAUCGCUAGGGGUGUUAAACAAACCGACCAAACAAUUAAACCGUAAAAACCAGGAAAAAUUAACCAAAAACACCGAAUUGAGAGAAAAAACCGAUCAAACCGAUUUAAAAAUCAAGUAACAGACUCGGUCCGGUUUGGUUUUGGUUUUAGAAAUUGAAACUAGGUAACUGAACUGGACCCAAUGUUUGAGAAAGGCUUAAACCCACUUAAAAAAAAAAGGGGGUAUAAAAAGAAAAGUAAGCUAACCUAAGUUUCCUAACCCUAAAAAUUCCACCCCCCCCCCUCUCCCACUGAAAACAGCAGUCAGCAGCCAUCUCGUUCCAUCCUUUUCUCUUCCAUCUCCUCCCUCUAUGUUAACUCCCCCUUCUCGUUCUCCCCCACUUGAUACAAGAUCUCAAUCGGUCGUCUCCCCCUGCCUUCUCUAUCAUUCCUUCUUUUCAUCAUAGACCCACUCUGAAAACGCCAGAAUCUGGCUUUGUAGGGUAAGAUUUCUUCUUUUUUCUCUGAGGUAUUUAAGAAACUGUGGAUACUUGCAUGCCUCAAGCAUAAGUAAUUGAUAGAUUUUGAUAUGGACUUUUUACCAAAAGAAAGAAAGACGGUUUUUGCUUUCUGUUUUAAUUUUCAUUUUAUAGCGGGAUUGAUUUUACCUAAAGUCUGAUUGUUUCCUAAGAAAAUUUCUUUCAUGAGAUGAAGCACAAGUUAUUGAUAGAUUUUGCAACAAUUUGUUAAGACUUGCAUCAACAGAUCUGCAAUGAACUGCCGUUUCUGUUUCUCUUUGUUUAUUUUGUCAAAAAAAGAAAAAAUAAAAUUAUUUUGCUUGAUUUUCUCGUCAAUAAAUCAAAGCAGACACGGAAACCCAUUUUUAUUUAUCUACUGUGAAGAAGCUUCCUUUGCUUUGAAGAGAUUAGAUUUUCUGGUUUCAAGCCUAAAACUGAACUUGACCAAAUCGAACCGGUUCAGUUUGAACUGGUUAUCGGUUCGGUCCGGUCCAUUUUCUAGCAAAAAUUCAUCUCCCAGUUCAGUUGGAAUUUUGGGCCCUAACUGGACCAUGAACACCCCUAAAUAUCGCAAUUCAGAAAGCGAUGAAACAAACAUUUUACAACAUAUCAAAAUUGGGAUAACUAACUUUGGCUUUCACGCACAAAAACCAGGUUAGCGUCAAUGAAUUUGAAUGUUGCAAUUUCUUUGAACUCAGACCGCCCAUAAGCAGAUCAUCAUACCAAAAUACAAGUAUCUUCUAAAAUGCAAAAAAUUAAGCUAUUAUAUGUGGCUUCUAUCAGAACAUGAAAGAACCACCCUCAAAUGAAUGACAGAAGAGGUCAUAAGCAAGCACUUACGAUGCACAAGUAUUUUGUCAGGAAGUUUUUUCACAAACUGAUCUGCCGCAUAUCUCCAAUCUGCAGAACUGUACCCACAAAAAUGAAAAACAAAAAUCCAACACUAAAUUUUUUCUCUCAGAGUUCAUAACCAACCUACGAACAGUAUUAAACCUGAAACACUAAAUUGGAAUCAAAUUUAAAGCUCAAUACUAGCGAGACCCACAAUGUAAGAUAAUUCAAAAAUUCUAGUAAACAAGCUUAGAAGGGCGCUAGCUAGCUAAAGUCUUCUUCCCUAAUGAUAACAAUAUAGACUAAAAUAACUUAUUUUUCUAUUUGCAGAGUGACCGAAGGACGCUAGAUAGCUAUAGUCUUCUUCUCUACUGAUUAUAAUAUAGACUAAACUAAUUUAUUUUCUAUUUGGAGAGGGACCUCAUGAUUUGUUCCUCAAAAUAGCAAUAGAAAUUCAUCAUAUCUUUUGGAUUUUCAAUGGAGCACUUAAAAAGGAAUAACACGAUAAUUAAUGAUGGUAAUCCGAAAAUUAAAAAAAAAAGUAAAAUUAUUGUUACCUCCCAAUAAUACCAUUAACCAUGAUAACAAGAUGCUGAGGCGAAACCCUAGCCUCUGCAACAGCUGCAUCCAUAAAAUCCUCACCGCCACUUUCAACCUCCACCUUGAGUACUUUACUGUCAGUUCUCUUAUUAAAACACCUGAAAUUCAUCCUCUUCCGUAUCCAAUCCAUUUUGGCCGGAUCCGCUCCUGAAUGGAGAGGAAAGGAGAAAGAGUUGGUGGUGUGAAUGAAAACGGCAGUGUGUUUGGGUGGAGAGAGUGGAGAGACGGCGGCGAUCAUGCGGGGCAAAGAAUCAUCGAAGAAAACAGAAAGAGAGAGAGAGAGAGAGAGAGAGAGCGAAAGAAGAGUGUAUUAGGAGUAGAAGGAAGGAUGGAAUGUGAAAAAUGUGGGGAGAGAGGGGGCGGGGGGGAAUGUUUGGAAUGAAAUGGGGCUAUCAUCAAUCUAUAUCAAUUUAUGUAAAAGUGGUUAGAAAACGGGUUUUUCCGUUUUCACCAUCAUAAUGGCGAAGGCUUCAAGUUGAGAAAAUUAAGAACUUGAAAAUCCAAAACAGAUUGAUUAGAAAAAAAUAUAUAUAUGUUUGGUUCUGAUUCAGUUUCAAAAAUCCAAAACCAAUUGAACCAGACCUGUUCAAAAAAAAAAAAAAGGAUAUACAAGCUUAUUUUAAAUUAUAUGUUUCUACCACGAAGAAUUGGUCAUCUCAAGUAAAACAGGUCUCAUGUCGUAUUCCAGAUCUCAAAUUCACCUCUGGUUUUCCCUGGAAGAUCUUCGUUUGGAUAGUGACUAAUUUCAGUAUGCGGUAGUAUAGAUAGAUUUUAAAAGUAUUUUUUAAUUAAAAAUAUAUUAGAAUAAUAUAUAUUUUUUAAUUUUUAACAUUAACCCAUUAAACUCUUAAAACAAUUUAAAACAUAUUAAUUUAAUAAUUUUUAUUUUAAAAACAUUCUAAAAAUCACCCCCUCCAAGCACCACCUUUGUUUUGUUGUCUUUGUUUUGACAUAUCUACUAGUAUAUUUGUUCACAUUCUAUUAUGGGUCGGAUUUAGAAAAAAUAAUAAAUAAAAUAUUGAGUAUAAUUUUUUUUUGACAGUAUUAUUAAAUUAAAUUAAACAGUUUGAUCUUUAAACUUAUCAAUCCAACACUUUUCCUAACUUGAGUUUCGAAUUAAAUCGUGUGGAAGCUAAUUUAAAAUUAAUUGUUCAAUUUAAUAGGUCCAAAAAUAAUUUGGAUGACCGGUAAAACCAUACAUAACUUUUUAAAAAACUUUAAGAUGAAUUUUUUAUAUAUAUAUUUAGACAAUACUAAAUUGGAUCGACCUUAGUCACCCUGCGACCUCAAUCAUAGACUUUAAUGGGAUUAAUAAUUUUUUAUUUUUGUAAAUUAUUUUUAUUUAAUUUUAUAAUGACAUUAGAUACCUUCAAAAUCGAGCAUUAAUUCUAAAAAAACAUUUAUUUGAGAUCAUGAUAACCCUAUAAAAAGUAAAAAAAAUAAAUUAUGAAUUUCAUUUCUCAACCAAUCCAAUAUUAAAUAAGAGUGAAAUAAAAAACAAUAUCAAUUUUAAUGGGUAAACCAACUAAACCCGUGAAUUAGAUAACUCAUGUCAACACAUCAAACUCGCAAACUAGGUAAUGAAUAUCACUGGAAUCAAUAACUUGUUUUUUUCCCUCCUAAACUAUUGUUUAUUUAAUUAUAUAAAAACAAAAAUAGACAAUCUUAAGGAUGAAAUUGAAAAAAAUUAAAUUUAUAUAAAAAAAAAAAAAAAAAAACUCGCCAUACACGUCAACAAGCCAUGAACUUUCUAAAACCUAAUAACAUGUUUUUUUAUUCCAAAAGUAUUUUAUUAAUUAUAUGAUAAAAAAAUAGACAAUUAUAUGAUCAAGUUUAAUUAAAAAAGGGUAAUCAUGGUUAUCUCAUCAAACUCGCAAACUGGGUUGUUGACUCCACAAAGUUUAAUAAAAUGAUUUUUUAAGUUAUUUUUUAUUUAACUAAUUUUUAUAUAAAAAAAAAUCAUACCAUGAUGCUAAGAUAUUUUUUUGAUACCACUCCAGUGUUGGGAUAUUUUUUUAAUACUGUAAUAAUCAUAUAAAGACAAAUUAAAAUAAAUUAUCUAAAUCCCCGUAAACACAUCAUGACUAAAUUAAAAAAAAAUCAAUAAAACCCCCCCCCCCCAACACUUUUUAGCUUUAUUUAUAAUACAUAACUUUAUUUUAAACAUGAAGACUAAAUCAAACCUAGCCGUCCCCACCCCUUCAAGCUUUCUCUUAAUGGUCCUCUCAAGCUUUGUUUGAUUAACAAGAAUGAGAUUAUUACUAGUGAACCACCUAGUAGUUCUCAAUGUCGGCAGGAUGGUUUGAGCUUUGAAUUUUUUAUUUAUUUACUAGAAAAUAGUUUUUUUAAAAAAAUAAAUUUUGAAAAAAUAAAUUUCGAAAUGGUGAAUUAUUUUUUAAUGUUUGGUAUUAUAAUGGAAUAAAAUAAGUUGAAAAACACUUUUUAGUGUUUGGUUAUGUCAUGGAAAAUAAGUUGGAAAAUAACUUAUUAAUAUUUUAUUUUUUUCAAGUUUAUUAAAAUAAUGAGAAACAAAUCUUACAAAUUAAAAAGUUGAAUAAGAAUGAAAUUGAAAAAAAUAUAAUUUUAUAAAUUAUCAAAAAAAAAAAUCAAAACAAUAAAGAUCAAAUCUAAGAAAUAAAAAAAAAUGAAAGAUGAAGAAAUUAAAAUAAUAAUAAUUAACAUUUUAUAAAUUAUUUCAAAUAAAAUAAGUAACAAUCAAAAAAAUGAUAAUGAAAUUUAAUAUAAUUAGCAAAUAACAUGAUAUUUCUAAUUUUUUCACAACUAUCGAAAAGUAUUUUUUGCUAAAAGUUUCAGGAAAAUACUUUCUAGAAAUCAAGCUAAAUUUUUCUUUAACUGAAAAGUGUUUUCUGUUGACCAAUUUUCUAAUAAUAAAUAAAUACAAAAAAGUUUAAAAUAUAAAUUUUUUAAAUAUCACUUUUCGAGAAACAAAUAUAACCUUAAUGAAAAACAGGGUGUGUGUAUGUAUGUAUAUACGUGUGUGAAAAUAUUUCACAAGUAUUUAUCUUCGUUAAAGUUUCUGGGUUUUUUUUCUAUACCGCCACAUCACAUGACAUGCCAUUGUUGCCAUUUUUUAUAUAUUCUUACAAACAAACAAUUUAUGUUGCCACCUUUUGUGUUCUAGAAUUUUCAUUGCAUAAUACAAACAAGAGAGCUCACGGGCAUAACAUAAGCAGUUCACGAGCCACCUUCAAUCAUGGAUCACCCCUCCCAACAACUUCCAUACCCGUCCACGAACAUUUAUAAUGCUUGUCGAACACCAUCCAAUUUACACCACGAAAGCAAAUUCCUAUUAAGCAAUGACUGGGCAUUGUGCUCCACACUCCAUUGCUGCGUUUGGUUCCAUUACACCAUACACUAACUCCCAUGGGUUCUUGAGAUCGAUAUAAAAGAAAGAGGGAGCGCCAAAGUGAGCGCCACCAACCGCUUCAUAGCCUUACCAUCACCCCUGCUCUGAAAACAAUGAGAGCACAAUUGUUCUUCGUCCUUAUUCACUUCACCAUCAUCACUACCAACAUCAUUUUAGUCACUUCCCAGUCAUCUUCAUUAGCAGAAACACCGCUAAAAAAGGUUGAUAAUGAGACCAUUUACAAGGUCUCCAAGCAGCUCUGUUGGGGUUGCUUAGGAGAGUCACUGCAAUUCUUGUUUGCGCAUAAUUUAGUUAGGGCAGCCAAAUGGGAGCUCCCCUUGAUGUGGGACUUUGAGCUUCAAAAAUAUGCAGGGUGGUGGGCUGGCCUGAGAAAAGCAGACUGCAAACUGCAACAUUCGUUCCCUGAAUAUGAUUUCAAGCUUGGAGAAAACAUUUACUGGGGGAGCGGCUCCACAUGGACACCGACCGACGCGGUGGGUACCUGGGCCGGUGAAGAGAAGUACUAUGAUUAUGCACAGAACACAUGUCAGGAGGGUCAAAUGUGCGGACACUAUACACAGAUUGUGUGGAAGACUACGAGGAGAAUUGGGUGUGCUCGUGUUGUCUGUGAUGAUGGGGAUGUGUUUAUGACUUGUAACUAUGAUCCUCCUGGUAAUUAUGUUGGUGAGAGGCCAUAUUAACGCGUACCAUAAUAAAUCUAGUAGGGUUGGAUGAUGCAUGAUCAGUACAGGAUUGCUUCCCAAGUAUUUUCGUGCUCAAUAUGAUUACAAAACUUGUAUAUAUGUACGGGUGAAUUAUUGCAGUAUUUACCUCCAUGAAUUUAAAAUAAAAUCGAUCUCAUAUGUAGUAAUAUAGGAUCAAUUUAAAUACUAUUCCUAAAUUACUGUUCCUUUUGCACAACUUGGUAUUUAGCUCACUGGUACUCUUUUACUUUUGAAGGAGAGAAGUCUGCGGGUUCCGCUCAUGCUCUAAUUAUUGGAGAAUAUGAGAAGCGUCUUUGCAGAAAGUCUGGUACAAGGUUUAUGAAGUUAUUUGAUGAGGAUAAAUGCAUAAAUUAAUAUUGAUUUAUUCACCAUGAGGGUUGUUAAGCCUCUGCAAUUACUGCCUUCUUGGCUUUUAGGGAGGCAAACUCAAUCAGGGGUAUAUAUAAGAAAUAUAUAAAUAAACGCAUAUUAAUAAAAAAAAAUUAUAAAAAAAACAUACAUAAUCAUAAUCAGUCCAGGAGAUUGGUCAUGAAGUUCCACCAAACACUCUUCUCGUUUUAAAAAAAAAGGUGCUUUGGUCGCACGUCGUUAUAUUCAGUAACAAGGUAAAAUUUGGGCUAUGCCCAGAAGGUUCAUCUAAUUUUGGACAAUAAUUGAAAGUAUUCUUGUUGCGACAUGAUGAUGCUUGACAAAGCUUCAUUGUAUCGAGGCUUUUCUAACGGGCAACAACAAGACAAAUGAGGGCAUUACCUACAAAGAGUUGGAUAUUUUCCUCUUUCUUGUGAUAAGAAAAUCUUUUUUUUUUUUUUUUUUGCUAAAACAUGUGAUAUAUAGCUGGAUAAAUGUGAAAAAAUCUAAAAAUUAUAUAGGAAUGUUCAAGAUGGCAAUUCUAUUUUUUUUUAUGUAGAAUUAUAGCUUGUAAUAAAUAACAAGAGAUGGGAAAGAGAGAUAAAGAACUCGGCUAGGCCUCGACCCUAUUAAGUUUGGUGUGGUGUGGGGCUCGGUUGGAUUAGACCUAACCGAGAAUGUUACUUGGUUAGGCUGAGAGGGCCAACUAAGUUUACACUUUGUUUUAUACUAUCAUUAUUAUUUGGCUUCAAAUUUACACAUUUUUUUAUAUCAUCAUCAUCACAAUAAAAAUGACAACCGAAUAAACUUUUCUAGUUAAUGGUCCACUUCAAAAAAUGAAAUAUAAAGUGUGAGCACUUUCUAUUAUAGUUGUUAUAUAUAUGGACUUCGAAAUACGUACGAUGAUUUAAUGUAGUAAACAUUAAAGUUGAGUUGAAUAAGGAUUUGAUUUGGAUAAAUUUAUUUAAUUUGGUAAAACUAAAUUGAAUUUAUUAAAAUCAGUUGAAUCAAAAGUUAAUUUAUUUUAAAAAAAAAUUGAUAAAAAAACUAAAUUGUUUAGAAUAGGAUUUGAAACUUUUAUUUUAUUAACUAAAAACUUUUACAACCAACCAAGACCAACAUAUAUAAAAAUAUUUAAUUUUAAUAUUCAAUAUUAUAAUUGAUCUAUUAGAUUAACCCACUAAUCCGAGGGGUUGACUCAUAAUUGUGUGACCGAGAUAUUUUAUCGAAUUUAACAACUAUGAUUUCUUUACUCAAUAUCCCUUUGAUUUAUGAUGGAGAUAACCCUAUUAAACCUAACCCGAUCAACAGGCUGAUAUAAGAAUUUUAUGACUCAAGAGCUAAUUAUGAUCAAAUUUAAAAUUAAAUCAACUAUGAGAUAUUAAAAUAAAAAAUAAAAUAUUGUCAUUUUAGCAUUUCAUAAAAAUAAAAUGUGAUCCAAUCCAAUGAUUGGAUUACUUGUAUUAUUUAUCAAAUUCAAAACUCGGUUGUAAAUGACAAUUAUAUUGAUACCAUAAGUUAAAACUCACAUUAUGACAUAAAUUAUGUUACCUACAUGGAAACUAUAUAUUUUCCCUUGUACUUUUUAUGUUUGUUUAGUAACGUGGUGUAUGGUGCUUUUUAAAAAUAAUUUUCAAUUAAAAUUACAUUAAAAUAAUAUUAUUUUAAAAAUUUUUUAUUUUUUAUAUUAAUAUAUCAAAAUUAUUAAAAAAUAUCUUAGAAAUAUUAAUCUUAAAAAAAAACAAUUUGAAAAAAAAAUAACUGUUACUGGUUCUCUUAUUUAAUGGGUGAGUUGAUGUUUUAAUAGCCUGGUGGCUGGUUAUCUUAUUUAAUGGGUGGGUUGAUGUUAAUUACUCUGUUAAAUUCCUUUACAUGAUAGUAACUACAGGCUACCACUCUUUAAUCUAAAGUUGCAUUAUUUAUAAUUGUUAAAUAUAAUUUACACACAAUAAGAACUCUAAUUAUAAUUUAAAGGUCUAAAUUAAAAAGAUUAUGGAUUUAUCUUAUAUAUAAUCAUCUCACAUUUUCCACUUUUAAUUUAUAAAAUAAUUAUCACUCACACAUACAUUCAACACAAAUUAAAGGUACAAAUGAUGAAGGCGUGGGAUCCAAAAUACUGAAGAUUAAAAUUACAGUGAAAGGAAGAGAAGUUGAAACUGAAAAAAUUUGAAUAUUUUUUAUUUUUUUAUUUUAAAUUAAUAUUUUUAAAUGUUUUCAAAUCAUUUUGAUAUACUAAUAUUAAAAAUAAUUUUUAAAAAAUAAAAAAUAAUAAUUUUAAUAUAUCUUUAAAUAAAAAAUACUAAUUUUUUUUACCAAAACUACAGCUUCAAUAGACAAAGAAUACGACGAAGAACAACGAAAGGCAAGAAGCCGCACGUUAAUAUUGAAAAAAAAUCUAAUUGCCACUAGCAAAAGCAGUAGUACAGCUUUAUUCAACCCUCCCUUUUUUGUCCCUGCUUAUUAUUUUUAAUGUUAUAUUGAAAUUUAUUUUACAAUAAAUACAUAUGAUAUAAUUUAGUUAUCACAUGAGAUUGGAUUUCCACACAAAAGAGAAAAAAGAAACAAAAGGAAAAACAACUACGCAAAAACUUCAAGAAACAUUCAAUAAGGCUUUUCUCCUAUGUAAUUCCCAGGAGGAUCAUAGUUGCAGGUCAUGAAAACACCUCCUCCACCAAAACAAGUCACUCUAGCACACCCAAUUCUUCUCGUAUUCCUCCACACAACUUGAGUAUAAUGUCCACAUUCUUCGCCCCGGGCACAAGAAUUAGACCUAUAAUCAUAACAUUUACGCUCCGAGACCCACGCCACGGCCGCCUGAGCUGGAGUCCAGUCACUGCCACUACCCCAGAAGAUGUUCUCGCCGUAAGGUCCGUUAGAAUGCUUUAACGCACAGUCAGAGCGCCUCUGGUUGGCGUACCAUUGUGCGUAACGUUCCAAUUUUGCAUCCCACACUAAUGGUCGGAUCCUCAACGAGGCUCGGACAGCAUUUUGAGGAGCCAAGAAUCGGUUUGCCGUGCUAAGGUAGGGAUUUGGUCGUUUUGUGAUGACAGCAUGGGAGCUUGAAAUGAGAAGGAUAAAAAUGGCGACGGAAGCAUGCCAGGAAUGCAUUUGCAGAAAAAAUAAUUUAACCUUUCAUUCGGGAAUUUUAGAAGGGGUCAUUGUAUACUUAUAUUUAUGAGGAUUUGGUAGAAGAAACAUUAGAAGGGGUAUUUAAGUCAAAUAAGGGUGGCACCCAUGUUCGAUCAUGAUUGCCACAUUUGUUUUUGUGGAGGACCUAAGUUUUCUUUCCGCAAUUUCAUAAUUUUGGGGGAGCCCCCCUGCUUCUCUUUCAAGUGCACCUCCACACCCCUUAUUUUUGACAAGACGACACAGAGAAACACAAGUUUAGGGUGGAAGGAAAAAUAUAUAUUUUUUAUAUUUGAAAAAUAUUUUUGAAAAAAUUAAUUUUUUUUAGUUUUUUUUUUCAAAUUAAUAUAUUUUUAUUGUUUUAAAAUCAUCUUGAUGCACUAGUAUAAAAAAUAAUUUUUUAAAAAUAAAAAAUAUAUUAUUUUAAUACAUUUCUUAGUUAAAAGUACUUUGAAAAGUAAUCAAAAUCACAUUUUCAAACAGAUAAAAAACAAUAAUAAUAAUAAAAAAAGGUUCUAUUUAAAAUUUAUUUUUAAAGUGCUUUUAAAUAUUUUUAACUGAAAAAAACAUUAAAUUCAUGUUUUUUAAAAAAAAAAUUAAUGAUUUUAAUAUAUUAAAAAUAUAAAAUAUAAAAAAAUUAUUUUAAUAUAUUUUCAGUUAAAAAGCACCACAGUAUAUUACCAAAUAAUUCAUAUAUUAAAUUUUUGCGUCUUUAAUGAGGUAAAUUGAAAUCUCAUUGUUUAUCUUAUGUAGAGACAAUAUGUUCAUGGCCCGAUUUGGUAUUGCUGAAGAAAAUUAAGUAUUGAUCAUCUAUUUUAGAUUGUAAGUAAUUAUGCUUUAGAAAUACAACAACAUCAAAUAAAUAUAAUAUUUAACUAAUCUUUCUCGCAAAGAUAUUUUUCGUUUUUUUUAUAUUAUAUAAAUAGAAAAGGUAUAAUAUUGGUUAUCAAAUGUAGCCAUUCCAGCUAAAUAAACAAGUAUAUACUCCGGAUUCUAUCUAAUGUACAGAUUAUAGACUUGUUCAAGUGAAAGCUGUCAUAUUUUAGGGCCUUUAUUCCAUAUUUAAGCAAGAUCUGAUUAAUUAAACAUAUCUAGCUUUGCCGAAGCCCAAUAAGAACACAACACGUUACAUGUAAUUGUAAUAUAAUAAAUGGUUGAACCAUAUAGCAGGUAGCUUAGUAAUUAAAUUUUGGAAUAAAAUAUUUGCUUUUCUUUUUUAGCGAUAUAAUUGCUAUUAAAAAUUUAUAUAAUUAUUAAUUUUAAAAUCUAAUUAAUUAAUUGAGGUAUAUAUAAAUUAUCCGGAUAUCUAUAUUAAAAAUAAUAAUAAUAAAGGCUGUCCUAGAAAAUGAAAAUAUGUGGUUACAAUUUUCAAUGUUGGGAAAGAUUUUAUUGUAUAAUUAAUGCAGGGAAACUGGAAAUACUCUGACAUCUUUGCUCUACCGAAAAAAGAAAGAAAGAAGACAACGACAUGAUUGGGAAGACUUUUGAUGAGCUAACGUUAUUAUGUAGUCAUCACUUUUGUUGGCCAAAGAUGCCCAGUGUUCUUCACAAAUGUCAAUGAUAUGAGUUGUCGUGGAAAUAUUUAUAUGCUCAAAUCCUCAAUGCUGCCCCAAUCAACGGAGAGAUUGAAGCACUUGAAUUAACGGAGCCGACAAAUCAGCGGAUAGGUUUCGACUGAUUUCGAGUGUUCCGAUUCAUUUUUAUUUAAUUUUUCUCUUGGCUGUUGUUCAAAAGAAUAUAUAUUAAUUAUUUCUGUGUUUUUUAAAUGUAUUAUUGGUUGAAAAGUAUCUAUGAUUUUCUUACCAAAUCCAACCAGACUCCUGACUUUUCAAUUCUUUAUUAUUAUUAUUAAUUUUCGUCUAUGAUCGAUCCAGUUGACCCGGGGCUACAACUAGAUCAGGUUUAAAAAAAAUAAAAAAAGUCAAAUCCCGGGAUAAUCCGACAAGACUCGAUUAAAAAUCCUAUUGUAAUUUGUUGGAUUUUUUUUUUAUUAAAAUGAUGUCGUUUUGAUUUUAAAAAACUCUUUAUUGACCCGAGUAAUCUGAUGAUCUGGUUAAAACCCAAUGACUUGGUUAAAACUCAGAACCCAGACUUUAAAUCAAGCCGACUAUUGAGCCAGGUUUUAAAACUCUGCUGUCGGUAGUGUUUUCUUCCCACUUCCUCCCAAUUUUCAUUGACAAAAGCCUGAGGACGAAGGACCCGACCCGAGAUGGUGUUUAACUGUGACAUGAUAGUGGAUAUCAUAGGUAAACUUAAGAAGGUUACUUUUAGAACCCGAUGAUUUGGCUAUUCAGAGGAAGAGACAUGGCAAGUUACAGUGGAUAUCAUAGGUAUAUCUUUAUUAUCCAUCUCCUAUUUACAUCUUUUACUACAACUUUGUUUUCCAGUCUUAAGUUUAAGUCUGCACAUGAUCAUGACAUGAAUAUUGACUUUUUUUAGCUGAUGUGCUUGAAUAAAAAACAGCUUGCGUAAGAUAUAAGUUCAUGUUUCCUUGAUUGUUGUAAGAUAUCAAAAUUAUGUUUCCAAACCUUGAGACAGAUCAGGUUAAGAAUCUCAUAAUAUUGUUUCCUUCAUACAAAUCUAAAUAUGGAGUUUUCUUUUUAUGCAAAGAAUGAUGAUCAUGGAUUAUUUGAGUUGAUCUUGUUAUUAUUGUAGUUCAUAUAUAUAUGUUUUUUGUUUUGAAAAAGUCUUUUAAAGAUAAGUAUUCUGAUCUAGUUAGACAUAUAAAUGGUUUGUGAAAUUGUUAUUUGGCGGAUGUCGGCCAGGACUCCUUGUUAUCGGUGAGGAGAAAUAUAUAUCAUGGAAAAUUAUGAGUGGUCACGUAGUGGUUAAAAGAAAUUAGCAAUUCUAAAAUAUAUAGUGUUCCAGAAAUUAUUAGUUAUGCUUAAAAAAAAACGAUGUCGACAUUACAGUAUUUUUUCUUACGAAAGUUUACAUUUAUUAUAUGUUUUCUCUUAAAUUUAUCUUUUUGAUUGUCUUUAUUUAUUAUGUUUUAACUAAUUAAUUUUUUUUUACUUACUUUCGAAUCAUUUUAUGAAAAAUUUGAUGCUUCUAUCUAAAAAUAGGAAAUUUGUUGAUUGGUUAUUUGUUAAAAUCAAGUUUUUUUUAAUUAAUAUUUUUUUGAUAUUUUCAGAUAUUUUUGAUGUGCUGAUAUUAAAAAAUUUUAUUUAAAUUUUUUUUAUUAAAAAGUAUUUUUUAUCAUAUGUAAAAAGAAGAAUGUGAGAAACCAAAAUUAGUUUUUGCAAAAAAAAAAGAAAAAUUCAAAAUUACGAGGAUAAAAAUAUGCAAAAAUAACUUUUAAGAAUGACUUGGCCGCGAUGCUCAAUAUAUACUAACAUAAAUUUGAUGUUUUUAUUAUAUGUAUUUUUAUCUUUUUUUAGUAUUUUUCUUGAACAUUUAUAUACUUAACCCAAACCCACUAAACCCAUGGAUACAACCCAAAGAUUUUAGCCCAAAUUAAUGAAGCUAUAGCUAACAUUCAUCAAAGAAAAUCCAAGCUCACGGACCGUGCUAAAUAAAUCUAAGCACUUUAAAGCCAGCCCAAACUUCCUCUUUAAACAACAUAUAAAUCUAUGGAUCGGACAAAGACUUGAAGGAAUUCAUUCCAAAAGACAGGCAUUAUUUAAAACCAGGCCAAAAACAUAUAAAUCGACGGGCAGAAAAUAUAAAAACAAAGCAGUUUACCUUUAGUUUCUUGAUGGAAGCAGACCAAGAGCAACAGUAAAUGUAAUUUUCCAAACACAUCCCAGUGCAUGUAAUUUUAAUUAUUUAUCAGAUUUUUGAAGGACUAUUUUGUAAUUAAUUUUGUAUUUUUCAUUUUAUUUUUUCAUCCUUUUAAAUUUAAUAUUUUAAAUUAUGAACAAGAUAUUUUUUCGUUAUUAAAUAAACUAGUUUUUAUUUUUUAGAAAAUAUAAAAACAAAAAUUCCUUUUUUUUUAAAAAAAUGCAUUUAUGUUUUAAAUUGUAUGGCCAAGUUUUUCCAAAAACAAAAUCAUGAUUGUAUUUUUAAUAAAAAAGAAAAAUAAAAAAAAUAUAUUGCAUGGUUUAACAUUUCUUGAAAUCACCAAAACUUUUUUAAUUAAAAUAGUUUUUAUAUUUUGCAUAUAUCAUGGAUUUAAUAAAAAUUUCAUUAAAUCUAUGGGUACUUAUGUAUUAAUUUUUGACACUUGUGUAUUUAUCUUUUUGUUCAUGGUUUUUAAAGAAUCAUCUCAACUUAAAAUAUUAAACUUUUGAGUUGAAUUGUUUCUUUAAUAUAGUAUCAUAAUCUUAAUAAUUAAGCAAUCAUGAGUUCAAAUUUUACUAUUUUUAUUUAUUUGAAGAAAUUAAAUACAAAUUAGUAUGAAUAUGUACAAGUUUCAAGUUCAAAGAGCUUUUACUUGAUGAAAUGUAUAAAAAAAUAUUAUAAAUUAUAUCUUAGGACCUCAUCUAAAAAUUUAAACUUUUAAAUUGAAAUCGUUCUUCAACAAUGACACAACCCUAACUUGCACUAACUAUAAGAUGGGCAUUAAAAAAAGUCAUAUGAUUUAAGAUGAACAUUUUGAAAGUUUUUCAUUUAAAAGGAUAUUUAUUUUUUCAAGGUUUUAUAAUUUAGUCAAUGUAUAAAUAAAUUAGUUCUAUAAGAUUGAAAAAUUGUAUGAUAUUUAUGGUAUAAUUAUCAAUAUUUAUAACAUUAAAAGAAAUAUAAACAUUAAAAAAAUACAAUUUUGAUUUAAAUAAUAUAUUAGUUAUAAAUUCAACUGUCCCAUAACAUCAUUUAAUUAAGAACUACACAGCAUAAAAAAAAAACUUAGAUAACAUGACAAGAUUCAAACAUAGUAAAAAUAGAUUUUAUAUGUAAAUAAUGUAUUUAUAUGUUCGAUCUUACAUAUUAUUUUAGUUCAUAAGAUAAAACGCGCCUUUUCAUGGUUAAAUUUUUUUUUUUUUUUAAAUAAUCUUAUUUUGGGUAAAAAGGUUGUUAAACUUUGUUGAGCAGAAAAUUCAAGGCGAGGCCAUUUCAAGCCGCUAAAUACUCUAUAUAUACCAAGCUAUUUCUGUCCUCGUCCACAUCCACCUUUCACUUGUUGCAAACUCUUAGGUGCGCACGUUAACACCUCCCCCCUAAAGAUAGCCACACACACGCAAUCAACCUUCCCCUUCAAUCCGCCAUCAACCUCUAGAUCUUCAUCAAUUUCUCCCCUGUAACAACUACUCCAUCAAAUGCUCACCAAUAUCUGAAGCACAUUGUGCAUGAAAACACAGGGCAUAAACCUAAAUAGUAUCCAUUAGAACACCAAGCUAAAUCACCAUGUCAGAAGCAAAAAACGACUUGAAACACAUUGCUGUGCUAGCAUUCCCGUUCGCCACCCAUGCUCCUCCACUCUUUUCCCUCAUUAGGAGGCUAUCCACGAUGGCUCCGCAAGCGAAGUUUUCAUUCUUUAGCACAAGAGAAUCCAAUAACAAAAUUUUCUCAAAUCAAGGGAGGAUGGAAAGCAUAAAACCCUACAAUGUAAACGAUGGUUUACCUGAGGAUUACAUGAUUUCAUUUGCAAAUCCCCAUGAGCGGGUGGAGUACUUUUUGAAGGCGGUCCCCGGGAAUUUUAAGCAAGCCAUGGAGGUGGCCGUGCAGGUUAUUGGGAGGGAAAUUACUUGCAUCAUCAGUGAUGCAUUCUUUUGGUUUGGGGCGGAUAUUGCACGCGAAUUGCACGUACCAUGGGUGCCACUCUGGACUGCCGGACCUCGUCCCCUCCUUUUGCAUCUUGAAACCGAUCUAGUCCGCCAGAAAAUGGGAGGCGAUGGUAAGGUUUUUUGAUGGUAGGAUCAUAAAGCAUAUGUUCGAAUUUGCAUGAUUUCAAGCUUUGCUUCUUAUUUUAAAGGUUUAUAUUCAUUCAUAUAGUAGUUAUGCGUUCAAUUGUCAUCCACAUGGAUAUCACAUCGAUCAAAGUAAAAAUAAAUCAACUGUGAAAAGAAAUAAAAGGCACAAUUUUGAUUUUCAGGAAAAGAAUCCGGCCCCAUAUUAGGGUUUGGAUCCGCAUAAAGAAAAAGUGCGUAAGCAGAAUUUGCUCACACUGAUCCAAUAAGAUAUCUUGAAAUUCUCUUCUCCACUAAUUUUGAGAUAGAAAUAACAUUAAUUGCAGAAUAAAUUAUAGUUGUUUUUCGGGUCAAUUUUACAUUAAGGAUGGUAUGAAUGGCUUGGUAAGUGGAACAUACUUACUAAUAAGUUUACUUUGAAAUAACAAAUUAUCAAUAAAUUCUGUUAUAAUCUUUUAAGAUCAAUAUUUUUUUUUAAAUCAUGUUUAAUUGUGCUGUCUGUAUUGCCCUCUUCAUAUAUUCUAAGAAAGUAUCAUUUAAAUGGUUUGAAUUUAUUUUCUUCACGUUUAGUUUUUGUAAAAAUACUUUUCAAAAUAUUUUUUUUGAACUUCUUAGUUUUCUCUCUUGUAAAAGAAUUUAUAAUUGUAAUAUACCUUUUCUUAUGUUACCAUUAUAGUAAAUCAUGAUUAAAUUCAAAUAAAAUUAUGAUUAUUAAAGUAGAAAAAAUUAUUCUUCAUAUAUGAAAAUCAAAAUUUUAAUUAUGAAAUCUUAAUGUUCGUGAGCUUAAUGAGGUGCUCUAGACCUUUUUCAAUAAUUUUAUAUAUUAACAAGAAUAAAACCAUAUGAUAUAAUAACUCUUUCAUAUAUAUAUAUAUAUAUAUAUUUUAAAAAAAUAUAUGAAGUAAAAACCCUACCAAAAUACAUAUAAGUGAAAACAAAUUACAUAAGAGAACUUGUGGGGGUAUAAGGGCCUCUUUAAAAAAAGAUAAAUAACAUGUUUGAAAUUUUCUGAAUUAAAUUUAAUUAAAAGAUUUUAAUGAAAUCUUAUAUUUGGAAUCUUUUUAAUUGUUAAGAAUUGAAUUCUAAAUAGAAUUCAAUCUCUAAAAUUACUAUAAAAAUAAAUAAGAGAUCAACCCUUCUAAUUUACAAUUUUUAAAAAAUUAAUGUUAAAACUAAUUUUUCUAAAAUGUUAUAUUUUUUUUAAAUAUUUUUUAAAAAGAUGAAUAUAAUAAGAAUAAUAUAAGAAAUAAAAUGAAUUGGAUUUUAUCUUAUCCAAUAUGUGAAUUCAAUUUAGUUAUCAAUCAAAUUUAAGUCAAACACUAUAAUUAAAUUAAAUUUAAUUAUUAAAUUUAAUUUAAGUAUAGAAUUAUUCCAAAUAAAUAGUAAAGAAAGUCGAUUUAUUAAUGAAAACACUAAAUUUAGGGUAAGAAAUUAGAAUCUAGACUUGGGCCUAAAUUGUAAAGAAAGUUGAUUUAUUAAUGAACACACUAAAUUUAGGGUAAGAAAUUAGAACCUAGACCUGGGCCUUGCUAAAACUAGGCAUGGCCUUAGCGUCUUAAGUGAAGGAUAUUUUAACAAAACAUGUAGCCGUCUUAAAGGCCUGAAACGCAAAUAAUGGUAAUGAUUUUAGAUCAAGGGGAUACUCCUCUGGAGCAUUUGAUAUGAGACAGUAAAGUUAAGCAUGAAGGAUUACUUUUUCCAUGGCUGACAAGUGAAUUCAAGAGCGUUUCAAAGAUGCAAAAUCUCUGUUUUAUUUCCUUAUUAAUUUUUAUGAUCCAAUUUAGCUCAAAUACUUGGGUGAAAAUGGCCUAAACCAUAGAAUUGUUAGUUUAAAUGAAAUGUUUUUCUUCCAUUCUCUGCUUAGCUUACUUUCUACGUCCUUCUUGCUAAUCUGUUAACUAUUUAAUUUCAUGUUUCAUUUUUUAAGGAGUACCGGAAGAUAGAACCAUGGACUUUCUUCCAGGUUUUUCUGAAAUACGAGCUGCUGAUAUACCUAAAGAACUGCUCCAUGAAGACGCAAUACCAGGAAUCCCAGCAAUGUUGUAUAAAAUGGGAAAAAUGUUACCACGAGCAGCUGCUGGUGUAUUGAGCUCGUGGGAGAAAUUAGACCCUGAUGUGGUGAAUCAGCUCCAGUCAAGACUUCAUAAUUUUCUUGAAGUUGGUCCCUUAGUGCUAACAUCUCCAGAUCCUGUUAUGUCCGAUCCACAGUGUUGCCUAGAGUGGCUGGACAGGCAGAAACGAGGCUCAGUCUUGUACGUUUGUUUUGGAAGUAUGAUAAUGCCACCACCUCAUGAGCUAGCAGAGCUAGCAGAAGCACUAGAGGAAUGCGAUUCGCCAUUUCUAUGGUCAUUUAGAGAAAACCCUGAGGCAAAAUUGCCAGAAGGGUUCUUAGAAAGGACUAAGGAGAAGGGAAAAGUAGUCUCAUGGAGUCCACAGUUAAAAGUCUUGCAACACAAUGCAACUGCGGUGUUUCUUACACAUGCUGGAUGGAAUUCGAUUUCAGAGAGUAUUGUUGGAUGCGUGCCCAUGAUUUGUAGGCCUUUCUUCGGGGAUCAAGCCUUGAACACAAGGACUGUGGAGGCUAUAUGGAAAAUUGGUGUUGGGAUUGAAGGAGGGACGAUAACUAAAGAUGGAGUAACCAAAGCUAUAAAACUUAUCUUGUCAACCGAAGAAGGAGAAAAAAUGCGGAAGAACGUUGAACACCUCCAAGAUCUUGCUUUGGAUGCAGUGUCAAAUGGCAGCUCUUCGAAAAACUUCGAAGCACUGCUAGAGGUUGUCACCAAGUAGUGUGAGAUGAAAAUUCCGAGAAAUUGUUUUUCCGAGGGUAAUAUCAUGGAGUAUAAAAUCAUUUGUUUUUCGAAUUUACGAUUUACUUGUAAUUUGGAUAUUGAAGUUUAUGUUAUGGAAGCCCUCGCUUUGUAAUCAGAACCAAAAUCUGGCAGCAAUUUUUAGCUUAUUACAUGGGCGAUUGACGAUCGCUGCAAAGUUUCUAUAUAUCCUGACACGCACCUAAUGUACUCAAUCAGCUCUUUUUAUUAUUUCCUGUUCCAUUUUUAUUUUUUUUAUAAAAAUUGAAAUUUAUUGAUUAACAGAAGCGGUCAUUAAGAUGGUGGCUGGAAACUUCCAUCAAGCAAAAUUACAUCCAGUUUAUGAGCUCAUAAUCUCGGCUUAAAGCCUCUUAUUUUUUUCGGAAUCAUCUGCAACUUAAAAUACAUGUCUAAACAGGGCAGAGCUAGAAAAUAAAAUUAAAAGAGUAAGAUUUCAGUUGUUUUAUUAUUUAAACUAAAACUAUAAAUAUUAUAAAACAAUUAUUUUUUGGCAUGCUGGGUUUUUUUCUUAAUAAUUCCAUGAAUACAACAUUGUGCGUGAAGAAACAAAAAAAAGAAAAAGAAGAUCUAGCCCUACGCGAAGGACUUCAGCCAUUGGUGAAACUGAUUUCAUAAGCUCCCAAGAUUAAUUCAAUCUUUCAUCAACUUCGAAGCUCGCGAGCACAAAGUCUAGCUGUCAAGAAAUUUGGGGUGUCAAAGAACCCUGUGUCAAGGCCACCAGAAAAGGCACAAUUCAAUGAAUCCUUUCUUCUUCUUCUUUGAACUAGAAGGGUAUGAUUCCUCAAGUGGAUGUCCCUAUUCCAUAUCCUUAUGACGAUAUGCUUUCAACUCUCAAUUAUGUAUUUUCGUUUCAAUCCCAACAAACUACAUAGUAGACUCUGUGGGAGCAUAAAAUCUCUUAUGCCAUUUUUUAAUCAAAGUCUUGCUGUUGAGAAAUUAGGGGUUUUUAGGGGUGUGUUUAGAUUGGUAAUUAGGGAUUUUUAGGUACUAUUUUGUAAGUAAGUAAUGGGUUUGUGUUGAUGAAUGUAUCUUUUAGGUUUUUUUUUCCUAUUAAUAUAGAUAUUCGAGCCAGCUUGCAUGUAUCUCGAUUAAUCUCACGGGCUUAAAGUUAAUGACCAUAUAAGCCUCCAAUAAUCAUCAUAUUAGCAACCAUAGGACUCGAACCUGAGACAAUAAAAACAAUAAAUUUUUUGAUCCUAAAUUCUUAUCACUAAGUUAUCUACUAAAUGAUUAUCUUUUAGGUUUUUGUUUGGGAAUAAAAUGGUGAUUUUGGAUUCUAUUUUUUUAUGUGUAUUUUAAUAUAUUUAAAAAGAGAAGGAAAGGGAUAACAUUAGAUUAAUUUUUUAUUGGGUUUAAAACCUUUGUUUUAAUUGUAGAAGAGAAAGAAAUUGUAUCUUAAUAGAAAAAUCAUGUUUAAAGAAUGAAAUUCUAUAUUUUUAAUAUAUUACAAUAAGAGUAGUUUGGUUAUUUUUUUAUAUAUGUUUGAAAAAAAAAAAUUAAAAUGUAAAUGGUAUUUUUUCAAACUAAAAAAGACAAUGCUAAAUAUAAUUUUGCCCUAAUAAAAUUAUAAAACAAGUGAUAGUACUAUAGUAUUUAUUUCAAAAAUCAAGAGUUAUUAAGAAUUUGGAUUUGAUCAAUUUUUUAUUUAUAAAAGUUUUUAUUAUCCUUUUAUUUUAGUUUUAGGAUAGGAAAUAUCUAACUAAUUUUAAUCAAUAAAAGGAUCAAACAUUGAUACCAAGAAUUAGAAGGAAUAAAAUGAUAUAAAAAUUAAACAAAUGUUGGUUUAUGUAUUUUAAAAACAAUAUAAACAUAAUUAUAAUGAUGAAAACAAUAUAAAAACAAUAUUAUAAUUAAAUUAUUAACCAAUUAUACAUGAUGGGUUAAAGAAUCCAGAAAGUUCACGGGCAAAAAGCCCAUGAAAGAACCUAGCAAGUCCAAAGUCCAAACCGCUAAAUUAUACUAAUCAAGCAGGUGCGGCAAUUUAAUUAAUGUAAUAUAAUUUCCUGGCCGACGUCGAGCCUGCUGUUAUCUUGCUGUCAAUUGCAUAACACCCUCAAAUCCCUGCCUUUAAUCCCUUGAUAGAUGUUGACAAAUCAUAAAUAAAAUCCUUCAUUCUUAAAUAUACAAAAACUUUCUGUGACAUGCAGCUCAAUAACUGGAAACCAAGAGACUUCAAAACACAGAAACCAGAGGGAAGAAGAUAGAACAAGUGGUAGUUGCACUCCCACGCCCAAGAACUUACCUCCUAAUGGGGUGAGGAAGGGAAAAACUACAGAAACUUAAGCAGAAUUAAUGGAGUGAUAUCAUUUAUAAUUAAGUUGUAGCCAAUAGAACUGCUUAUAGAUGACUCCAGGAACCAAGAAAAAGUUCAAAUCGCUUUUUCUUUCUCUUGUGGGGAUUUUUCAUCUGUAAAUUCAUAGCACGUAUAUAAAACUGAGCUGCAUAUACAGCAGGAAAUAAAGCAACAGAAACUUUGAUAUGAAAAUAUUCUGAACAGGACAUUACUAUUAUUAUUCACACAAUUUACAAAACCUGCAGCCAAUUAAUAGACUUCUGUCUUUCUUCCACAUCUUAUGAAAUAAGCUCAUACCACUCCCGAAUAUUUCCUUCUGUGUUUUUUUUCUUUUUUUGGAGAUUACAUAUUAUAACCUAAUUGAUAAUCUUGAAACAUCCCUUCAGACUGAAGAACAGAAGUGGAAUCCCAAGAAUUUGAGGAGGCUGAUUUUGUCUCAAAGUCAUUAGACCACCAAUUCAUGCUGUCCCUAGAACCGUUCAUUUCUUUGAAACAAUCAAAUUCACCAAUCUGAUCCCCCGGUGCAGUAAGACCUGAUGUUUUGUUGUUGAGAAAGUUUUCGAGCUCAGAUUGGAAAUUUGAGACAGGCUGGACCGCUGCAUCAGAUUGGUCUGCCAUGCCUGCUCCCGGAACAGUAGUCAAGUCCAUUACAUUUUUACCAUUGGUGAAGGGAAGAGGACUGUCCGAGGAUGUUAUAACAUUCAAAGAAUUCUCCAAGCUGACUACGUUUGAAUUGCUGAAUUUUGGAUGACCUUGUUGAAGUGUGUCGGGAUCCACUAGCUGCCCAUAGAUAUCAACCUUUUGCGCAUCCCCUUGUUGAGUACUGGGGAAGGCAUAUUGCAUAAGAGGGUUAGAGAUUUCACUCAAAGAUUGAAGGAGAAUCUUCUCUUGGAAAGGAUGCAACUUGGGCCACAGUGCAGGAUUGUUGUAGAAAGCGAUAGGGUUUUGAAGGCUUUGAAGCUGCAUAUGCAGCUGGAGCCUUUCAAGUGCUGAGUUGCUCAAGGCCUGUGAAGAUGAGCUAUCUUCUACGCCAUUGGCAUCUGGAUUCGUGGAUGAUAGCCGAUUGUUGCUAGAUUGUUUGCGCCUUCCAAGUAGCUUCUUCUUCAGUCUUGUGUUCCAAUAGUUCUUGAUAUCGUUAUCUGUUCUUCCCGGUAAUUGUGCAGCAAUUAUGGACCACCUAUUUUAAUUGCACAAGGAAUUUGAAUUAUAUCAUUUGUCACUCCCAAGAAAUAAUAAAAAAGAAAGAAGAAGAGGAAUCCAAACAAAAGAAUAAACCCUACAACUAAGAUACGAAUCUGCAAGAUGGAAUUCGCUAUCUUAAGCACUAGCAUCAUUGACAAAGAAAAAAAGGACAAAGCAGUGCAUGUUCAGUUCUAUGGGAAAAACUGAGAUAGAGAGAGAGAGAGAGAGGGUACCUGCUGCCAAUACUUAUGUAGAGGCUGCAGAUGAUAUUGUCUUCUUCUUCAGAGAAUCCACCAUGCUUGAUAUUAGGCCUCAAGUAAUUCAACCAUCUCAGUCUGCAACUUUUUCCGCAUCUCUUAAGCCCUAUAAUCAAAUCAAUUCCAUCAACAGUUCAAACAAAUAAUUCUAGUUCACCUCCUAAACAAAAAUCAAAGAGAGCUAGUCUUGAAAGAACAUAUUUCCUUUCAGAAAAAAUAAAUAUAUAUAUAUAUAUAGAGAGAGAGAUAGAGAUAGAUAUUUACCAACUUUUUGAGGAAGUGCAAUCCAGUUUCCUCCAGUACCAAACUGGUCAAUAUAAGCCUUAAGCUUAGCAUCCUCUUCUGGUGACCAUGGUCCCUUUUUCACAUUGUUUUUAUCACAACAAGGAGCUCGACCCAUCUCUCUAGCUAUGCUUUCUUCUUAUUCUCUUUCUCUAAGCAAGAAACUCUUUGAAAGCUGUCUAAGAUUGUUGGGGAAGAUUGGGAAAGGAUGAACCAAGAUUUAUAGGCAGGAAUAGUGGGUGAUGUUAUGCUUAUUACGACAAAAAGUCUUACAACUCACCCUCCCCUCUCCUCCUCUUAAAAAUUCAACCCCCAUUUCGUUUUUCUUUAGGGUUUAUUUUUCUGCUUGCUAGGUCUCUAAUUCUCUCUUCCUUUUUGGAUUAGUUCGCUCAUCCAUAUUUAACUAUACAUGCAACUAGACAAAAUGCAACACAAAUUUCUUCUACUUUAUAAUUUUAUAUUACACUACUUUUUUUCCAGGUUGAUUAGUUUAUUGUUUGAACACUUUGUGCUACAGGUAAGUAUCAUAAGAAAUAUCCUCGAAAGGUUCCAUUAUUAUCCACCUUAAAAUAUUAAUGUUCUUGCUAAUAAGGCAGUAGAAUUCUGUGUACUAAAUUAUAUUACAGGCCAUCAUUUUAUGAAUUGAACCUGUUUCGAGUGUCGCGAUUGACUUACACAUGUUUAUCUUAGAAGUUUCAUGGGAUGACAUUACCUUCCUGGAGAACUGCAAUCAAAUGGUAUAAUAAGAGCAUGUGUUGGGACAAAUAAUGUUCUGCUAUAUAUAUAUAUAUAUAUAUAUAUAUAUAGAAUAAUAUAAAUUAUAUCUCAAGACAUUACCUAACAAUUUAAGUUAUUAGGUUUAGAUGGUUUUUUGACAUGGUAUUAGAGCCUUAAUAACCAAGUGGUCACGAGUUCGAAUCUCACUACCCCUAUUUAUUUGAUAAAAAUCAAGAACAAUGUAAUUUGAGCAUGUGCAAGUUUCAAGCCCAAAAGACUUUUAUUUGAGAGGGUGUGUUAGAAAAUAAUAUAAAUCAAAUCUUGAAACUUUACCUAAAAGUUUAAGCUAUUAGGUUGAGAGUAGCUUUUUGGCCAAACUAAAAAAGGAUACUGCUAAUUACCAUUUCGCCUUUGACUAGGAUUGGAAUCAAACUUGAUGCUAGAGAUUUUGCUUAAAUGUGUAGUCUUAUGAUAAUGAGUAUAAUUUUUAAUUUGAUUGUUGAAUUGGACUCAAAUUUUAUAGGAUUUUAGAAACCCUAUUUUACAUGUGGUUAAAGUUUCGUAGCCAUCAAAUAAGGUAAAUAAAAUCCCCCAAGUUAGGCCCAAAAGUUACUAUUUAGGAUUUCUAUUUGCUAGUAUAUAAGUAGCUUCUGACAAAUGUAAUACUCAGUUUUUAUUAGGGUGCUUAUGGUUGAAACCUUUUUUUCGACAUAAUUUUAUCUUUUCAUGCUUGUUGUCUUUCUUAUGUUGUUUUCGCCUAUAUUAUUUGGCAUUGGAACUCAAUGAUUAUUCAUGGUUAGUUUUUGUAUGUUAUUGAGUAACCAUGGUUGAAAGAGAUUGCAGAAUAAAGCGUGCUUGUAUAGUAAAUAAGGAUGAUGAGAUUCCCCUUAAAAAAAAAAGAUGUUUAAGAAAUAAUGAUAGGAGAUAUGCUAAGAUCUAAGAUAGAUUAUAGAAUUAACUUGUUAGUUGGUGAAGAUGAGGAGCUUAAGAGAUUGCAAGAAAAGUGAUCAUGGAUCCAUGGAAAGCUUUGAAAACCUAUUUGAAAGGCACGAGUAGAGGAGACAACCUUUUAAUCUAAAUAAGUAUUAUGAAGAUUUAGGAUUUUGGAUAAAACUUUCUGAGUUCAUAGAAACCUUAUAGAUAGAGGAGUUUAUCAAUUACUUUAAUGAAUUGGAGAGGAUAUUUAAGUGCAAUUAAGUCAUAAAAUGGAUAAGGACAAAGCUAGUUAAUUUCCAUCAGAUUUGUCGCACCCCAAAAAAAAUCAAAUCAGCGCGCGGCAUCGGGCGAGCGAUUUAUCUCGUUGUUGCGUUUGAAUUUGGUUCGUUGGAGUCACCACCUAGUAAUUGAUUUCGGGCUACUAGGAAACCGGAUGUACUGGUCUUGUCAGAGAUUCGCGGGUAAGGGACUGGUUGUGGUUAGGGAAGGUAUUAACACCCCUAACGCACCCUACCUGAGGUAAGCUGCUUCGUGGCUUUGACGUGUUAAAGAAGUUUUAAUAAUUGUCUUUUCUUCGGAAAUUAGAAAUAUCACUUACGUAUAAGUUAAUAAUUCUUAACCGUGAUCCGAUCAAAAUAUUAAAUUCUUCUUUAAUAUAUUUUCAAUUUUAUCAUUAAAAAAUAUGUACAAAUAAAUAAAACAAAAAUACAAGCACACACAUACACUUUCACUAUUUUAUUUUUGUUUCUUUUCUUUUUCUUUUCUUUUCUUUUCUUUUACAUCCAUAUUUACAAAAUCCAAAUACAAAUUCAAAACAAAAAAACAUAAAAAUUACAUGAAUUAAUUUAAAAUGUAGAAAACAGUCCCCCAAAACUCCAGGAAUUGCAUAGGAACGCUUCUAGAAUGGUCUGAACGGUGGUGGCGCGUCUUCCCACGCGCCCCCGUCACUGGAGGCGCGUGGGUUCACGCGCCGCCGCUGGAGAAGUACAGUGAGCAGGGGUUCAGUCACAGCCUCCCCUCUUCAACAGCGAUGACACUGACCUGCAAAACGAAAAAAAAACCCAACAACAAUCUGUUCUAAUUUUCAUUUUAUUUCAUCCGUUCCCAAGUUUUUUUCCUUUUUUAGAUCUGUUUCCUUCCGUUUCUCUGCCUCCUCUCGUCUGUCUCAGGUGACCGGAUCUGCUGUCAGGGCGCCUGUGGCUAACGGUUGGCAGCCUCUCGGUGGUAGCGGCGCUGCUGUUCGGCCGCCGCUGGGAGAGGCAACCGAAGGAGAAGCAGCCGUUGCUGAUGGGAAGGCUGCGGUGGCUGGAGGUCUGGUGACCGGCGGCUGUGGAGUGAGGGGAGGAGUAAUCGGCUGGUUAGUGGGGUUCGGUGAGGAAGAAAAAAAACAGUUGUGGCCGGUUGAAGAAGAAACGAAAAAAUCAAAAGGGGGAGUGUGGGGCUGUUAUGGUGAAGAUGAAGAUGGCUGGGCAAUUCAAACCAGGGAAGGGGGGCGGCGGCUUGGUUUUCUUUUGUGCAGGGAGAUCAGAAAAAAUCAAAAGGUGUGGGGGGCGCCGCCGGCUAGUUUAUCUCUGUCAAUGGGAGUAGGGCGGCUCUGUUUGGCUCCGACUGAAAAAAAAUAAAAUAAAAUAAAAUAAAACCAGAGGGGAAGGGGCCUUGGGCGAGAAGGAGCAACGGCUGGAAGUUCAAAAAAUUUCAAACCGGGGGGGCGGCUCCUUUGGGUAGGCUGUUUGGAGAAAACAAAAGAUAGGUUUAGGGUUUUUUCUUUUGUAUUUUUGUUGAAGUUUCAAAAUUGUCCCCCCUCUUUUGUGUGAGUUAAAGACCAGUAUUUAUAGGCAAAAAUGUUGCCAAGUUUUUCAACUUGGUCCCUCAACUUCUUUCUUUUUGUAAAUUUUGAUUUUUCUUAUUUUUUUGUAUUUUUUGAAAACGAGCAAUAUCAACGUCGACUCAAAUGCGGAAAAUCAAUGAUUUUAAAAAUGACGCGUGAAAAAUCGAACGCGUUUGAAAAUAUUUUAACAAUUUAAAUUCUUUUUUAGACGACGUUGAAAAUGCUAAAAUGACGAAAAUAUAUUAAAAAACAUAUUUUUUGGAUUUUUGAAAAUAUAUCAAAACAUGGGUCAAAAAUUGGGUAGCAACAGAUGCCCCCUCUUUACAAUGCUUACGAAACAAAACUCCUCAAAAUUUUGCAUAGUAAGCUUUGUAAAGAAAACAAAAGGAAAAUGAUUUUAUUAUCUUGGGCAACCUGCCUACACAUACUCACUCUAGUCUAUUUUCACGGGCGACCGACCCACACUCUCCCAAUAGUCUAUUUUCACGGGCGACCUGCCCACACAUUGGGUUUACCUGAGAUCCCAUCUAGCGACCUCAUUCAACUGAAACGAAAAUAUUGUGUAACUCGGUUAACCUGAAAUCCCAUCUGGCUAUUCCCUUUAACCAAAGCUACCCGAGAUCCCAUCUGGCGACCUCAUUUAACCAAAACAAAAGAAUGUGUGAAAAAUGGUCUCAUUGUAUGGGUGACGAACCCAAGAAAAAAAUGAUGGUCUCAUUGUAUGGGUGACGAACCCUAGAAAAAUGAUGGUCUCAUUGUAUGGGUGACGAACCCCAGAAAAGUGGUGGUCUCAUUGUAUGGGUGACGAACCCGAGAAAAGUGGUGGUCUCAUUGUAUGGGUGACGAACCCCAGAAAAGUGGUGGUCUCAUUGUAUGGGUGACGAACCCGAGAAAAGUGGUGGUCUCAUUGUAUGGGUGACGAACCCUAGAAAAGUGGUGGUCUCAUUGUAUGGGUGACGAACCCCAGAAAAGUGGUGGUCUCAUUGUAUGGGUGACGAACCCCAGAAAUAUGAUGGUCUCAUUGUAUGGGUGACGAACCCCAGAAAAAUGAUGAAGUGCGGUCUCAUUGUAAUGGGUGACCUACCCACGUGGAAAAAAUAUGAAGUGUGGUCUCGUUGUAAUGGGUGACCUACCCAGAUGGAAAAAAUGUGAAAAUGGUCUUAUUAUGAUGGGAGACCUACCCAGAUGGAAAAAAUGUGAUAUGACAAGUGUGAAAAAUAGGACUUACCUGGCGAAGUUCUGAAAGGAUGACAGAAGAAAGGGCUGGAAGACUUGGUGCUUCCUGAUAAUUCCCGAUCAUGGGGUUUGAAAACUCGGUGUUUCCUAAUUGCAAGGGUUGAAAACUCGAGGCUUCCCGGUUGCAAGGUUGAUCUAUUCAUUUCUUUGGGAUUUUCCUAAUGGUAGGGUUCAUCCCAUCGUCCUUUUAUUCCAUGAUCAAAAUCGAUUCUUUAUUAUCAUCACCACAAUGCUUCUUUCUCUUUCCACCAUCUUGCUGGACCUCAUUAAGGAUUUUCCUGUAACAAUUCAAAAAUAUGUGCAAAUGGUUUUUUUUUUUUUUUUUUUGAGGUUAGAUGAUAUGCAUGCAUCCUUACCUGAUUUGAAAUAAUAGAUCCCCCCUCUUUGAUGCUCCAUCGUCAUAGGGUGCCCUUGUUUGUAUCCCAAAGCUUUCUUUGUUCUUCCGAUGUAUUAGCUCAUUCAUGUGUUAGCCAUCCACUCAGCUGUAAAUGCGUGCCCAUCCCGGGCUGUCUUCGACAAUUACUGCUUGCAUCGUUCAUGAAGCUUGACCCUGCCCCCAAGUGUGUACUGCUUGAUUCAUCAUGAGAGAUUUUCUCUCCUGGCUUCUUCUGAGAAAUUAUCCUCUGAUUGAUUGUGUGCAUCAUGCCAACACCCAUCACGUUUGUUAAUCAGUCAUGAACUUGCCUUCGGUUGAAACACCAUUCAAGUAUGUAUGGUCACCAGCCUUCAUGGAACUGCCAAGUCAUCCAGACAUGUAUCUCAUGCUUUGCAGUAAACAGCUCAUCAUUGUAAGCUGAUGUAUUUCUCUAUGGAUUCCUCUUAGCUUGUCAAUCAGAUCGUGAAAAUACCUGCUUUGCAUCAUCAAUGAUGUUCAUGUUAUCACCAUAUUCAUGCGGUGAAGUGCGCAUUUGAGCUUCAGAAUAGAUGUCCCACAAUCAGUCUUCGAGGUGGGUGCCUUUCCGACAUUCAUUCAGUGCAGUUGUGUGAUAACAUCGUCUCUAACCAUGUUUCAAAGAAUGACAAUAUGAGAUUGUCCUUUAAGUGCAGCAUUGUUCCACAGUCAGUCUUGGUGGUGUGCAUCUUUUCUCAUUCAAUUACAUUCAUCUGUGUAUUCCUCAUCGAUCGCGAGCCAUGUUUCAAAAAAUGAUGAUAGGAAAGUGCCUUCAGGUACGUUUUUGUUUCUCCAUUGCCGACAGGAUUCACUAAAGCAUGGGCCAUUUUGGAAUGACAUUGCCCCAGUAUGAUCCGAAUGUGCUCGUUCAUUGAUUAUCUGUCUUUGAACAUCAUUGUCUUCAGUUCACUGAUUCAUCAUUUAAACAUUGCCUCAUAGCUGAUCUGAGCACUGCUUGUUUUUCCUUUUCAAGGUCUACUGUAUUGCCCCCAGCUGCUCAACUUUUCAAGGAGUGUCGAGGACUUCAAUGUCAUUUCUAUCAACAAUUUUGCAUACUCAAUCAAUGUUCUUCUGUGUUUGAUAAUCUUCCUUGUUCUGGAAUCAACUCUCAUAUUUCAAAGAUCAUGUCUAUUCAAAGUCUAGUUUGUUGAAAUGAAAUCAGAGAUGUCUUUUUGAAAAUCUUUUGAAAAUCAAGCUUUUUGAUCAAAGGCCCAACACAUUUUAUUCGAAAUAUAUAGUCCUUUGAUUGUCAUGCAUUUUGAAAACAGAAAUUGACCCAAUGUAGGAUUAAAAAUGGCUUUUUCCAUGGUUCUUUGUAUCAAUUUGAAUCCUUGAUAUUGGGUAUAUCAUUUGAUAGUCUAUGAUGAGGUGACCUUUGCAUGAAUUUCAAAAACAAGAUGCUCAGGCUUUAUCAAGAAAGGUUGUUUCUUCUCUUAGCAUUUAUUUUAUCAGCAUGCAUAAUAACCAGUAGCUUAAUUCAUGAAGUCACGACCCUUAUGGAAAAAACUCUUCAAGUUUUGAGAUCGCCAUUUAUUGGUUCAGAUUGCUUGCUUGAUUAAAAAGGGCUUUUAAAAGCACGUAAUGCAGGCUAUGGUUCAUGGCUAUGAAAGAAAGGAAUUCCAUAGGCUCAAAAAGGUGUUUGAGGGUUUCAAAGACCUAGGAUCAACAUCAACUAUUCAUCAACUUGCUUUCUAUUGUUGUCUUUGUAGAGGAAACGACAUAUAACCUUGUUAACCUCAAAGUUCAGACUUUUCUUAACAUAAGUCAUAAUGCAAAUCCCCCUUUCCUUGAUGAAUAACUAAUCUAAAUAUUUUUGAAGACAUUAGAGGCUCUAUCCAAGACACACCAAAAGAUAUGAAGCAUCGAUUUUUCUAGUGUUGACUUUUGGCAUUUGCUGUCUUUUCUCAAUUGAAAACUGUCUUGCCUCUCUUAGAAUUGAUAGGCAUUUUCUUUCCUUUCCAUUUUUUUUUUUUUGCAUAGCCUUCCUCAAAGUUUUUCUUGGAUGGCCCUCAAUCUAUGGAUUUUCUUCUGCUAGCCCUUUCUCAAACAUUGGACUUUUGUUCUAAGCUUUUCUUUGAUCCAUUGAUUUUAUCAGUGUCUCCAAAAUAUUUCUCAUUUGCCCCUAGUGUGGGGUGUGAUCCUAGUCAGGGUUUCCUUUUGAAAGAAAAUAUCUCACCAAGCUCAAAAUGGGACUACAAGGGAUAUAAUUUUUAGAAAGUGAAGAGAUAUCAAAGAUGGCCUUUUCUCAUUUCAAGCAAGGUCGGUUAGAACCGAUAAAUUUUGACCUCAUCUAGUGUAAUGAUUUGGACUUGUAAGAAUCAUGAUUCACGAGUCCAUAACUAUUGAAUCCACUACAUGUCAUUAUGCAUACUGCUAAAACUUAGCUAUAUGAUGUGUGGUUCAGUUUCAAAAGGUAUGAGUUCAAAAUUGUUUGGUCACCUCAUGUCAUUUUCAAGUAGAGUCAUUUCUGUAAUCAAAACACUUUUAAUCUUCCGGAUUGAUUAACCUUUAUCGCAUGUUGGAGUUUGAUCAAAAUAUUUUGUCAGAAUAAAAUGUAAACAUCUGUUGAUUUCAAAACAACAAAGAGACAAAAGCAAGGCAUGUUUCGUUGAAGGAUGAGAUGUGAUCCCAAAACAAAAUGCAGAAUUCCAUAACAAUAUGAUUGACUGUUCAUCACCAUUCUCGAAUCAGCUUUUCUGGCAAUAUCUGUGUUUUGCAAACAUUUUCGAUCACAUGUCAUUCUGAAGUUGUUCGGGGAACAAUAUAGCCAAUGACACCCUCUUCAACGACUCCACUUGUCUCUUGCUCACCAACUUUCAGACUCGCUUCUCAAUUCUUGAAAUUGCUCAAUUGAAAUGGUUGAGGACCCCAUCAUGACAUCACAUCUCUUGUCUGGAUUAACCACCCAGAAAAUGGUGGUUGCAUGGAUUUGUCGGAGUCAAGCAAAAUUCUGGAAUCUGGCAGAUGCUGGUCGACAAACUUAAAUGGCAGAGGAAUGUCCCAUCUUGGCAAAGAUAUUUGGGCAAUUGAUGCUGCCGUGAGACCUGGCUAUACCACAUAAUUAAGGGUUCACACCGUCAAAGUCAUCUCCAUGAUUUACCUCUCCUCAUUGUUCUAGAAUCCAUGGCAGAUCCUUCAAUCUUUCUCUCUUCAUAGCCUGUUCAAUUCUUCGGCAAAUUCUCAUAACAUUAUUUCAAUCUUCCAAUGUUGCUAGGGUUGGUUGAGGAUUGUUAGAAAACUUUCUAACAACUUGGUAAUCUUGGCAGCGCCCAUAAACUUGUAGUAUCGUCACUACCGACGUGUGGAAUCACACAUUGUCUCUAUUGGAAGAGCACCAGAUGAAUCCAAAACUCCUUUGUCCCCUCUUCGAUUUCUCACUGACAGUGCAGCAAACAAACACCUAUAGAGGAAGUCCUGCUCUGUUGAAGUUUCAGUAUUCUUCAUGUUUUUUAGUCUAGGCAUGUCUCUUUUCUCUACUUUUGCGUUUUAAUACUGACACUGUUGGAGGAAAAUCAUAGAUGACCUGAAACUACUGUAUUCCUUCUUGGAUUUCCCACUUGCGGAUCCACAAACAGAUUCCUGCCGAGAGAGCUCUGCUCCGUUGAAGUUUGAUGUCUGCUCGUAUUUUUCAGACCAGGUCUGGAUCUUCAACGUACCAAGAUGUCUCCGUGCUGAAACUGAUGGGAGAAAUAUUUGUAACAUAUACAACUUAUAAAUCCCCUCUUGCACUCCCAAUUUGCAGAGCCAUAAAUGGAUUUUUAUAGAGGGAGCUCUGCCACAUUGAAGCUCAGUGUUUAAUCAUGGUUUUUCAGACCAGCAUCUUGUGCUGAUGAAAUGGAAUUGAGCUCAUAAUUAGGGCAGCUUCCAAGAAGACUAAUGCGCCAUGUACAGGAGACCGAUAGUUGUUUGGUUCCAUUAGAUGAUGUGGAGGCGAUGAACAUUUAACAAUGCAACCAGAGUUGUCAUUAGUUGAUGACUGAAGGCGUUGUUGCUUUUGUUCAUGACGAAAAAAGGAGAAAUACAGCUUCAAUUAGAUGUGAACAAGCAGUGUUCCCACAGAAGACUGUGCAGAUAUUCUCUUUCCAUUUGAUGCUCAACACUUGUUCGAGCAGAUCUGAGUCUGGCUACUUCACAUUUAAUGCUCUCAACCUUAAUCUGAUAAUGAGCCUCUAUCUGACACCUUUCUUCACCUCCAUCAUUUUUCUCCAAUCAUGUGCAGCACAGCUUGUGUGGGGGACCUACCUUUCAACCCGGUACAUGCAUGAUAAAUGUAUGAACAUGUAAUCUAUAUGAUGAACUCACCCUUCGAGAGGUGACAAUAUGGUCGUAACUCUUGUAUGAUGGACAAGAAUCGUGAUUUUUGCCCAAACUCUACAAUGAAAAUUUUCGGAGCAACGGCCAAUGUGUCACCCACAAGUCUUGAGUUCAAGAUGCUUCAAGAAGGGUUUGCCCUUAUGCAAAAAACGAUAGCACAUACAACCUAAGGACAGGUUCUAUUCAUUAUGUGAACAUGGGUAGGUUUUCUAUCUGGUCUCAAAAGGGUCUCAUAUCUGCCCAGUGACGUUCUUCGUAAAGACAGUAUGGGGGCGUUGCAAAGAAUGGUUAAGGCACGUAUACCCACCAUUACCAAGCAGGCACUCAGAUAUGAGUUGGGUGUUUCACGCAUCUGAACCCUGACCAAUAGUCUUAGGGCAGAUCGCUAGUUCCCCACCUAACCUAGAAGCUUGUGUGUGCUUUCAAAAAUAAAUACAGGUGAUGCAUGAGACAAUUCUAUAAAAUGCAUGGAAAUAAAUAUUAACAAAAAAACAAAAAUGCAAAAACAUAAACACAUCAAAUACACAAAGCUUAAUCCAAUAAUAUCAGAAACAGUACCGUCCCCAGUGGAGUCGCCAUUCUGUCGCACCCCAAAAAAAAUCAAUCAGCGGCGGCAUCGGCUGGCGAUUUAUCUCGUUUGCGUUUGAAUUUGGUUCGUUGGAGUCGCCACCUAGUAAUUGAUUCGGGCUACUAGGAAACCGGAUGUACUGGUCUUGUCAGAGAUUCGCGGGUAAGGGACUGGUUGUGGUUAGGGAAGGUAUUAGCACCCCUUAACACCUACUGAGGUAAGCUGCUUCGUGGCUUUGACGUGUUAAAGAAGUUUUAAUAAUUGUCUUUUCUUCGGAAAUUAGAAAUAUCACUUACGUAUAAGUUAAUAAUUCUUAACCGUGAUCCGAUCAAAAUAUUAAAUUCUUCUUUAAUAUAUUUUCAAUUUUACAUUAAAAAAUAGUACAAAUAAAUAAAAAAAAAUACAAGCACAUCACAUACACUUUCACUAUUUUAUUUUUGUUUCUUCUUUUUCUUUUCUUCUUUCUUUUACAUCCAUAUUUACAAAAUCCAAAUACAAAUUCAAACAAAAAAACAUAAAAAUUACAUGAAUUAAUUUAAAAUGUAGAAAACAGUCCCCCAAACUCCAGGAAUUGCAUAGGAACGCUUCUAGAAUGGUCUGAACGGCGGUGCGCGUCUUCCCCACGCGCCCCGUCACUGGCGGCGCGUGGGUUCACGCGCUGCCGCUGGAGAAGUACAGUGAGCAGGGUUCAGUCACAGCCUCCCUCUUCACGGCGAUGACACUGACCUGCAAAACAAAAAAAAAACGCAACAACAAUCUGUUUUAAUUUUCGUUUUAUUUCAUCCGUUCCCAAGUUUUUUUCCUUUUUUAGAUCUGUUUCCUUCCGUUUCUCUGCCUCCUCUCGUCUGUCUCAGGUGACCGGAUCUGCUGUCAGGGCGCCUGUGGGCUAACGUUGGCAGCCUCUCGGUGGUAGCGGCGCUGCUGUUUCGGCCGCCGCUGGGAGAGGCAACCGAAGGAGAAGCAGCCGUUGCUGAUGGGAAGGCUGCGGUGGCUGGCUGGUGAUGGAGGCGUCUGUGUGGUCGGCUGAGAAGAUCGGCGUUGAUGGAAACCGAAGGAGGAAGAAGAUAGGCCGGCUGUUGAAGGAAAUGAGUUUGUGGCUGGCUGAAGGCAGAUCGGAGUUUGCUGCGGAGAGGCUGCAACAAGGAAGUAAAUGCAGGGGCUGGACCAGGAGAAAAAGGGGGGAACGGUGAUGAGGCUGUUAGCCAAGGGAAGAAGGAACGGCUGAGGGGAGGGAGGUCUGGUGACCGGCGCUGUGGAGUGAGGGGAGGGAGCAAUCGCGCUGGUCAGUGGGGUCGGAGAGGAAGAAAAAAAAAGCAGUUGUGGCCGGUUGAAGAAGAAACGAAAAAAUCAAAAGGGGAGUGUGGGCUGUUAUGGUGAAGAUGAAGAUGGUUGGGCAAUUCAAACCAGGGAAGGGGGCGGCGGCGCUUGGUUUUCUUUUGUGCAGGGAGAUAAAAAAAAAAUCAAAAGGUGUGGGGGGCGCCGCCGGCUAGUUUAUCUCUGUCAAUGGGAGUAGGGCGGCUCUGUUUGGCUCCGGCUUGAAAAAAAUAAAAUAAAAUAAAUAAAACCAGAGGGAAGGGGCCUUGGGCGAGAAGGAGCAACGGCUGGAAGUUCAAAAAUUUCAAACCGGCGGGGCGGCUCCUUUGGUAGGCUGUUUGGAGAAAACAAAAGAUAGGUUUAGGGUUUUUUCUUUUGUAUUUUUGUUGAAGUUUCAA